AAAAAAUUAUCCUUACAGAACUCUGGAAAACGUGAAAAUUGUUUCAAUUAUCUUUUAAACUUACUUGGUAACUAGAAGUUCAAAGAAAUACGGAAGGCGAUAUAACAAUUCAAAAUAAUGUCAUUUCAACAAACAAAAGAACUUUAGAAAGAAGAAAAAUUGGAUGUUAUUUUCCCAGUAGUGUCAGUUUCUUGAAAAUAAUGCAGUGUGUAUUCUAACUGAUACCUGCAUCUUGCAUUAAAUCGAAGGUUCUCUUCUACAGUGAGGUUUCCGUGGACUAUAUCAUCUUGGGCAACAAAACCUGUAAUUCUCUUGUAUGAGUGGAUAGAUUCUGCCCUUCCAUUUAUGAGAACCAUCCCAGAUAAUGUGCAUUGUGUUAGCUUGCCAGCCACCGCAGAAAGAAAAGUAGUCUUCCCUGCUCCAGAUGGACCCAUGACGGCAGAAAUCCGACCAGGCAUAAGUUUUCCAGUAACAGACCUCAUCAAAUGUUUGUGCUUCUUUUUUAGAGUAAUGGUCAGGUCUUUGAAAGAAAUCUCAAUGGGAGGCCUAGUCUUAAGCUCAGUAUUAUCAUCAGUUGCCAUUGAGAUAACUCCCGAGAAUGUCAUAUUCUUAGUCUUUUGCUCCAUAGCUUUCUCUUUCUCAAGCUGACCAUAUGCAUAUUUAAAAAUUUGGCUCCUAGUGUGCAGUUUUUUAGCAUUGAUCGCUUGCUUCUUUAUAUUCUUAUCUCCAAUCUGCAUAUGGAACCCCUCCAUAUUGUCUGUUUCAUUUUCAAUUGAAUGCAUCAUUUUCGUGAGAUCACUAGGUUCUUUUUUCUUUCCUUUUCCAGAUGAGCUGCUAGGACCUUUAGGUGGUAUGGAUGCUUCAUCGUUAGUUUUAGGUAGGUUGAAAGCUCCUCUUGCUCCUUGCUUCACGCUCAUUUUCUUUGAGAAUGAGCGAGAUACCUGUUGUUGCAAUCCAAAAGCACGUUUUUUAGCAACAUCUUUUACUAAUCCCCACCUUUCUCUUGCUUGUGCAGUUUCUCGCGCAUGUCUUGCUGCAGCCUCCCUGGACUUGGCGACUCUUUGAUACUUAGUAUUUAUGACUUGAUCAGAGCAAUUAUAAAAGAUGAUCAGUAUAAAACUCAAAGCACCCUACAUGUAAAAGUGAAAAGAGGUCAGAUAUUAUGCAACAACUUCAGUUUUAAAAAAUCAAUGGUUAAAUUCAGAAUAAAAGAAUUGGUCUCUGAUUCUACAAUGAAAAAGAUAGACAAGGAAAAUUUUGAAAAAAUUCAGCACCUUAUAAUCUCCUAUGGAAUCCUAACACAAUGAAUAUGAGACAGGUUUUCUAACAUAGUGUUAUUCGACAUAGUAACAUCUUCCUUUUUCUUACAAGAUUGACAAGGGAAAAUGACUAAAGUGUAGUGUCACUGAAAACUCCAAUUUUAAGUUUAACACAUAAGCAUGCUAACGAAUAUAGGAAAUAUUGUUUUGUAUACCAAUGAGAACGACUGAUUAAGAAGUAUAUUAUGGAACAUGUAGAUACAUGUAUGGUAUGACUCAGAGGUACAGAUGUGGGAGUUUGAAAAUCUAAUAAUCUUGAAAAGAGAAGUUCAAACUGCAAAUGACAAACUUGGUAUCAUAGCUCUAGGUUUAAGGUAUCCUAGGGAGUCUAUGGAACCGGUGUCUUGUAGAGUCUAACUUAUGCGUGUGUUGUCAACCACUCGUAUAUCUUAGUGACUACGGACAUUUCAGAAAGUUUUACCUCCCUUCUCAUUCUAGAUGUGCAAGUAGAAAAUAACCUUAUGAAUUUCCCUUUGUCUCUAACAAUACAUAGUUUAAGUUUAUGUUGAUGCACUUCGGUCAUUAAUGGAGUCACUUUAUUUCUCAUAAUUAUUAUUGUUAAUUAAUUGAACUGUGAAGUAUGGGCUCGAAGUGGAUAGUAACUAAACUAAAUUGGUCCGCUCGCUGCAAGUUGGCAAGCAUCGGAUGCAGUGCCAUGUCUCCUCCCCUUUUGGGACAUGACACUAAGCCCCCUCAAACAUAGACUUUAAACUGUGACAGAUCUUGGUAAAUACUCAUUCACUGAAAACCAGAACCAAUUUUAAGAUAGAGAGAUACACAGUUUGAACAGAAGCCCCAAGAUUACUUUGCCAGAUAAAUUAAAGCCGAGGAGUGCAAAAUAGUGUAUUUUCAUGAAGAAAUAAAUGCAAUAGACUAAACUAAGUAAGAGGAAACUUACAAUAAGUAUAAAACCAAUUACAUGCAGCUUUUGUUUGUCUGAUUGUUUGUGGCAAUUACUCAACUUGAUGCAUUCUGCAAUGGUCAAAAUGCCAAAAAUGAACAUCUUUGUUUGUUGCCACAGUGAACAUAAAGCAAAAAUAACUUAACAGAUCCCCAAGUAAUUCAUGAAAAGACUAUCUGGAUAUUCAAACACUUUUUAAAAUUAGAAAUUUGGAUACUGUUUGCCUAAGAAAUAAUUUAUCUGUUAGCCUAUACAAUUAAGUUGAGACAACAACUCAUACCCUCAACUAAUAUGGAACUCGAUAAGUAUCUCAAAAGUACUGGGAGGUGGAAACUAAAGGCCAAGACCGGCUCAAUACAAUAAUGUGGAGUAGAUGAUUUGUAUGCACCAACUUAAGAGGGAGUGUUAGAAUAGGAAUAAUUAUAUGUAAUCCUACUUAGAAUAGGAACGGGAACAAGAAUCCUAGUUGAGAAAGGAGUCUACUGUAGUGUCUAUAAAUAGAAUCUCAAUGUAAUAACGUAGAUACACAACUCAAUAAUAUUUCUUCUCCAAUAUUUCUCACAGCUUUUACUUCUCAUCCAGAGCAUUAGAUAUAGUCAAGUCCGUGAUGAAAAAGAUUAAUAUAUAGUGGUUGUAACUUCCACCUCCACUUUACCGAGCUAAGCUAUUAAAGCUUCUAGAAUCGAGAGGAUUUACCUCUCGGUGCCGUAGAGCCCUUCCUACAGUAAUUCCUGGAAGUACACAAAUAGAGAUAUAGUCAAUUAUGAUUGUAAUAGAGUUAUUACUAGUGCGAUAAUAAUGAAUGCAUCAGAAACUUUAGUUCAAGCGAAGGAGUCAGAUUGUGCAAAAUUUGUAAGUACUCCUUCCAUCCAAUUUUACUUGUCCACUAUACUAAGAUAGAUGUCCACUUUUACUUAUCCAUUUUGGAAAAUCAAGAGAUAUUUAUCACUUAGUUCCUAAUUUACCCUUAUUAUUAACUCUAGUCAUUUCCCAAAGCAUUGAAUUUAUUAUAUCCAAAGGGUGAUAUAGUAAAAUUGUCAUUCUACUUAUUGCUCCUUAAAAGGGGGUGUCAAGUUAAUACUGGACAAGUAAAAAUGGACGGAGGGUGUACUUGGUUACUGCCUCAGAAGACAAACAUGAAUGCUGUGAGUUCUGGGAUCAAAUUCAAUACCCUUCCGAGCAAAUAACCUUUUUGGUGGUAGUUGGACAGUAAGAUCCUGGUGAGCAGAAUAACUCCCCACCGUCUGUUUCACUACCCCAACGAUCAGCUGCUCCACAAGUGUGAUUUACCUUGCCUGGAGGUAACUGGUAUGAAUAUCUGGAAAUUUUCUUUACCAAACGCGUAUUAGUUGAUCAUAUGACUAUAGAAGGCAUGCUGAAAUAGGAUAAGCAAAAGUGGAACUAGAAAAACUUACGGUUCACAUAAACCAUUUGUUUUGUUGAGUGUAGCACGAGGACAGAAAGCACCUAAUGGGCAAGCUGCAUAACAUAUAAUAGGGAUCCUUCAGAUCAAAUACCAAAACCUCAUGGCUUAAAAAGUUUAUUCAUCAAUUUCAAAGGUAAGCAGGAGUUAAAUAUGGAAAGUAAGUUACUCACAAAGCCUUCUGAAAGUGAUAACUAAAAUUCUAUUUGGCAAGACAUACAUUCAAUUCGGUAUCAUUCAUAUAAUCAUCAUUGUUAAUGUAGAGGUUGCUAGUUUCUAGAUUGAGGUUUCAGAACAAGACAAAACUCAUCAUGAAAACUCUAAACAGGCCUUCAUUUCCCGUGCAAGAAGCAACGUAUAUUCAUAAUAACUAAGCAAAAUAGUGACUUUAAUCUUAGAUGAAUAAAAUUGAGUGUUAAAACAAUAUAUGCAAAAAGAGGAAUUAAAUCCUUUGCAACAGCUAGGCUGCCAAAGGGUUGUUUUUACUUAUAACUUAUACCCUUAAAUAUAUUAUGUACAAAAUCAUCAAAACUACACUGGUAAUGUAAGAGAAUCUUUACAUAAUCAAAUCACUUAUAUGAUAAACUGGUAAAUCUCUAUGAUAUUAAUCAGUAAGCUGAUCAAAAUUGUAAGUGACCAGCUAUAACUGGUUAAACUACACUAAUGCAAGAAUCUUUAUAUUAUCAGAGCAGUAUAACUUCAAGUUGAAGAAUUAACAACUCAGACAAUUGAUAAUCGAGAAGAGAGUCUAUAGAUAUGCUUACGCAUCAUGCAAGUCAAGCCUCUAGGGCAGAAAAAACCCUCACAACAAGGUUGAUUGUCACGAGUACGAUCAGGCAUAUCUUUUGCAUUCUUAAGGUCAACUUUCUCAUUUUUACCAACACUGCAAGACCAGCCUGGUUCACAUCCAGGCACCCAUGAUGUCAAGUUACAAUUCCUAUUGGGUUUUAAGAUAUUAGCUUUUUGACUUGAUUUUGUCUCCAAAAAACUUGAAAAGUAGAAUUUCAUCUCUGCAGCGUUACAUAGCCUCUGUGUCACGUCUGUGUUAAGAAGAUCGGCAUAUUGUUAGAGAUAAAGGGUGUUUCAAACUAUAGCAGAGUUCAAACAAGCAAAACUUCGAUGCAAAAAUAGGAAACAAAAUGACAAGAAUUUUCUACUUGAUUUUUCUAGCUCAUUUCUUUUAGGUUUAAGUUAUAUACAUUGACAGUGUAAAUCAUGUCAGGCUGCCCAAACUUGAAUUAAUUUGAGAAGAUAAAGUGGUGACCAGAGUUUCACCAGCAAGUUCAUUAGGAUCAACGCAUGCAAAAAGCAUCUUGCGAUUAAAAGCAUAAGCAAAUUACAUACAACAACAGCAUACCUCAUGUAGUGCCACCCAAUGAAGUUCGGGGAAGGUAGAGUGUUCGCAAACCUUACCCCUACCUCAGAGGUAGAGAGAUUGUUUUCAACAGACCCUCGUGUAUGCAACCACAUUAUUGAUAAUAACAACAAAUAAAAAAAUCAAUACCUUUGGUCUCUUUAAAGCAAUUAUUUAAGAAUUCCAAGUUUUUGGCAAAAUUAAAUGCCUCAAACAACUCAGCAUCCCUAAAACAUGAAAAGAUUAAGUUUUUAAUUAGAAUAUAGAUAAUUAGGAGAUGUUAAACUAUAAUGCAAUUAAAACUUACACAUCAUCAAUGCAAAAUCCCAAAACCUGGGUGAUAUCCUUAUGGAAUACUUUUGUAAGAUUUGCAAGUUGGCCAUAAAUGAAAGAUGCAAGAACAGGCACAGCAGUAGGAUUAGCAUUAGCAUUAGCAGGAGGAGUUUGUUUACUAGGAGGUGCACACCAAACACAUGGAGAAAAACCCAAAACAAGAAUCAUAAACAAAUAAUAAAUGGGUAACCAUAUCCUAACUUUACCCAUUUCAUCUAAUAUUCCAAAUAAAUUAAUUCCUAAAGAAGAUUAAUGCCACCACUAAAUAAAACAUAAAACUGAAUAAACUAAAAAAUAGAAACAACCCCAAGAAGCCAAAAAGUGGAAAUUUUUCAAGGGAUGAAGGAUAUUUUACAAGAAAACUGAAACAACACAAAGAACCAAAAAGAUGAUUUUUUUUCUUCAAUAAAAUGGAAAUAGAAACAACCCAAGAACCAAAAAGAUGAAAUUUUUCAAUAGAAUAGGAAAUAUAAACAAAAAAACAAAAACACAAAAAGAUGAAAUUUUUCAAGGGAUAAAGGAAAUUUUUCAUGAAAAUAGAAACAACCCAAGAACCAAAAAGAUGAAAUUUUUACAAGGGAUGAAGGACUUUUUUUUUUAUUUUUCUGGGGUUCAAAUGGCCAUGGAGACAAGAAGAAGCUCCAGAACCAAAAAAAACAAGAAAGGGUUUUUUUGGUCAAAAUUUUUGGGUGAAGAAUCAUGAGUGAGAUGUGUAGAUUCUGGGAGGAGCUCCACUGUUUUUGGAAGAGAAAUGGCAUUGAGAGAUUAAUGGCUAAAUUGGAGGUUAGGAAUUAAUGCUUGCAUGCAAAUGUUUUUGUUUACAUACUUUUGUCUAAUGAUGUUUUUUUAUUCCCAACACGUAUGUCCAUGAUAGGCAAAAAAAAAAAAAAACCACCUUUGAUUCAAUUCAUGAAAACUAUAUAUUAAAAUUUCAAAAUCCAUUGAAAAAAAUUGACCAACUUUUUGAUAAUCUCAAUUAUUUUUAGUUUUUGGGGCAAGAAAUAAAUAAAUCAUCAUGUUCAAUUAUUUUUUUUAUUGUACUAAUUUUUACACAACAAGUUGAUCAAACUUGGUAAAUUUUGUUAAAAGAAAAAUUGGGAUUGAAUAGAUGGAUUUUUUUUCACUUGUGAUGUAGAAAGUGGAAGUAAAUAAACAAACUUAUGAUAUGACAAAAGAAGAAUCUAUGAGGAGAUUUUAUCGAUUAAAAUAUUUUCAUAGUUUUUUUUUUCCUUAUAAACCAUUUCAACUUUAUUUUUUCCCCUAAUUAUACUCAUUUAUAUUACUCAAUGACCAAUUCUUUAUCCAAAAAAGACAAAAAAUGUGAUCUUCCAGCCUAUACAUAUUCCUUUGUCCCUUUGAGAGGGACCCUUUAAGUUUCACAUUAUGACUGUGUAAUUCCAUCUCAGUAUUUGACAUAAAACUUUUUCUGUCAAAUAUUCUUGAAAAAGUAAAAAAAAAUACAGUGUGAAUGUAGUACAGUGUUGAAGAAACUUUCCUUUGUUUUGGUGGGGUAUUAGUAUUUGUUUGUUUGAAUAGCAGACUUCAAAUGCUGCUGCUGCUGCCGUGUGAAGACUUUUCUCAAGUCAUCUAAAGUCUUUGCCAUCUUUGACAAGAUAAAACCUUUUAUUGGAGCUGAAAGUUUUAUCAAGUUCCAAAUAGUACUGCAAUUUUUGAUAAAAAUUAUGGUGUGGGUUCAGAUUUAGUAGCUUAAAGGUGAAGUCUUUUUUAGAUUUUGAGUUAUUUUUGUGUUUAUUGGGAGUUAAAAGUGAAAAGUUGAAUGUGGGGUUUUAUGGGUCAUUGAGUUUUUGAAGGUUGUUUCACACCUUUGUAUUUACAGGAACUGUAAAAUUUGAGCUUUUGACUAUUCAAGAACUGGAAAAGAUUGAAUCUUGCACUUUGUAGAUGGUGGGUUUUCUACAUUUCUGGUAAUCUUUUACCUUGUUUCUGUUUUACUUUAUUUAUAUGGUAACAUAUACAUAUGGAAAUUUAAUGUUGUGGAGAAUCUUAGUAGCUGCCUGAACUUUCAUGUUAUUGAUGAGGAUGCGAUUUCGCCACCUUGUAAUCUUCUCCUGUCUUUAAAAAAGAAAAGAGAAGGAAGUUUAAGGUUGUAUAUUAGCUCUUGUGUUGAUAAUUAAGUAUAGUUUUCAAGCUAUUGGGUCAACUUUUGUUGUCCAAAUGAAGUACAAUGGGUAUUGAGAAUUCAUAUAACCAAGCUAAUUAGUUUAAUAUAUUUCCAUUUAUGAACAGAUUGAGAUAAAGUUUAUGCUGUGGGUUCAGAUUUAGCAGCCUAAAGGUGAGUCUUUUUUUAGGUUUUAAGUACUUAACUCUUUUAUGUUUCAAAGUAAAAUUUUGGAUGAGGGAUUUUUAUGGAUCAUUGAGUUUUUAAAGUUUUUCUCUUCUCUGUAUCCACAGGAAUUGUAAAAUUGGGCUUUUGGCUAUCCAAGAACUGAAAAAGAUUGAAUCUCGUGUCCCGUAGAUGGUGGGUUUUCUACAUUUCUGGUAAUUUUACCUUUUCGGAUGUUUCUGUUUUGUUUGGUUUUGAUGGCAACAAUACAUAUGGAAAUUUAAGGUUGUAUUUAGCUUUUAUAGUGAUGAUCUAGUAUUGUUUACAAGCUGAUGGGUCAACUUUCGUUGUCCAUAUGUAACAUAAUGGAUCUUGAGAAUUCCUAUAACCAAGAUAAUUAGUUUGGGAUUGAGUAACGUUUCUGUUUCAAGGGUUUUCUAGCAGUUAGUAGGAAGCCGGGUGUUGUCGCUCUUUAUGGGGGAGAGGUAGGGGAUAGCCCCCUCGUUUCUUCUUUUCACUAUUGAUAUUUGAUAGUAUUAUUUAGUAAUUGCGUAGUUUCAUAUUUUUCUAUGUGUGGUACUAUUUGUUGCUUCAUUUGUUUUGUGUCUUGCUAUUUGGUUUGCUAUAUUUUUCUUGCACUCCUGCUUGAUAACAUUCCUUUUGAGCCAAGGGUCUAUCGGAAACAACUGCUCUACCCCACAGGUAGGGGCAAUCUGCAUGCGUCCUAUCCUCACCAAGACUCCACUUGUGGGAUUACACCGAGUAUGUUGUUGUUGUAUUUCCUUUGAAAGCCAUGGAGCAAUUGCCAUUAGGUUUGGUAGGAAAGAUUUGGUUUAUAACUAAUGGCUUCUCGUUUUGCAUUUCCAUGGAUUGGUUGGUUAGUCUUCUACCUAUUCAUCAUUUUCAUUUGUAUAUUUCUUCCCCAUGCUCUUAUUUUUACUUUAACAAGGCAUGUGAACUUUCCUGCUCCUUAAAGUCUUGGAUAAAUUUUGCAGGCAUCAGUGUGAUUAGAUAUUCAAAUACGAUAUACUUCAGUACAUUCCUAGUAUUACCGAUUUACCUUUAUGUGAAAUUACUUGAAUAUUAAUUGACCAUUCUGGUUGAACCUGCAGGGAGGGUAUUUUAGUAGCAUACUUAAGGACAUGAAGUGUUUUCCGUUCUACAAUGCUGAGAAGAAGGAAGAACCUAAAACCACGAAGUCAAAUCCAGUUCUGUCCUCCUCUUUUGGUCUUUUUGAUAGUGAAUUUCGGCAUUCUCAUCGUGAGUCCAGCUCUCAGAAUGUAUCAGAUACCAGCUCAGAGUCUAGAGGAAGGAGCCAAAUUCCAAGCCUAUCAGAUAGACCUUCUGAUCUCAGGGCAUUUACAUUCUCAGAACUGAAAGCAGCAACAAAGAAUUUCAACCGUACUACUAAGAUUGGGGAAGGUGGAUUUGGAUGUGUAUAUAAGGCCACAGUAAAGACUGGUGAGGACUCAUCGAAAAAGAUUGACGUGGCUAUAAAACAACUUGGUAGGAGAGGAUUACAGGUAGCUAAUUUCUUUUUAAGCUCGAAUAAUUAUGUAUUACAAAUAUUAGGAUCCUGCACUUUGACAUCACUAUUUAUUAGGUGUUGGCACUUUGCAGUUGAUACACACUUCAAUCAUCUCUUAUCUUUUUAGCUGCAUGGAACUAAAUCUUAAUGUUACUUCAACUGCUGUCAUUUCUCUUACCAUUUAAGUUUCACUUGUGGAGCUGUAUUAGAAACUUUUGGGAAUCUUUUGGGAGUACAGAAAACCAGGAAGAAUGAAGCAAACUGUUCCAUAGUAUGAACUAUGAAAUUGCUAGGGAAAUAUUUUAACUUUAUAACGGAUGGCAUUUACCUUAUCAAAAAAAUAUUUCAACUUAAACUUUUUGUACAUUGAUAGACACAUUCAACAACAUAUAUACUAACUAAUUUGAAUUGGCUUGGCGUUAUUCAAAAUGUGUGAUCUGACUGUGCACAUGGAAGUUCAUGGAUUUGAAUGAUCUCUUAUGUUAAAAUACUUCCUUUUUGUUACCUUUCCUCUGUUCUUUUGUGGUGUAGUGAUGUACUCAUGGCUUUCCCCCAUCUAACCGAUUAAAAGGAUGACCAUAGAUUGAAAAAUCUUAUAGAUGGCAAAGUCUACUCCUUUGAACUUAGAAAAGUGAUGAACCCCAGAACUUAUUUCCAUUUUAGAAAGAAGUGCUGAACCCCGGAAGUAUAGUUGGUAUAGUUCUUCCAAUAUGUAAUGGCUCCAUUCAAUGCAGUUCUUUCAGAAGCACUAACCGCUUACUCUGGCCUAGUGAGAAAAUCUUCUAAUGGUUGAGGACCACCUGAUAAAUAGUUGUUUAGCUUGCCACAUUGAAACAUUCUUCUCAGUGAUUGGUGCUGGUAUUUGUUUUAGAUUGUUUACUAGUCCGAAGAGAACAUUUUCCACAGUGGGGGUUUGUCCAAUAUGACCUUUUAGAUCUAAAAAUGAGAAUUGGAGUACGAAAAUGAUUAAAUUUACCCAACUUCAUAGAUGGAUAAGCAUGAUGAAGUUCAAUCAUAAUUAUCUCCAAUAGCUUUUUGAUUGAGAUGCCUAAUGUCUACGCACUUUCUUAUGCUUGGGUUCAUCUUAUAUGCGGCUGAAGCGCCAUGAUGCUGAACUUCCAUUUUUCUUAUUCCAGUAUCAACAUGUUAUUCUUCAUUGGAGUUUUAUUGAAACCCCAUACUUAUCUGUUACAUAACUUCAGAAGAGCGAAUGGUGCAGAGAAUUCAUAAAUCUGAACAGACUAGUUUGGGAUUGAGUUGUAGUGAGUGUUAUUAUUUAUUGAAGAUGACCCCUGUUUUAAUCAUGGAUUGAAGUUCUAAUUUAUCUUCAAGUAUAAUAAUACUUCCUCUAUUCCCUGUUGUUGACCUAGUUACUAUUUGGUGAGUCAAUAAAAUGCUUUCAUGAUUGCUAUUUUAUUACUCCCUCCGUUUCAAUUUGUUUGUUUGGUUUUGACUUGACUCCGAGUUCAAGAAAGUAAGGAAGACUUUUGAAUCUUGUAGUCUUAAAUAGGUCAUAUGGAAGGUUAUAAAUUAUAGAGUUACCAAAAAAUGAAAGAGACUUUGAAAUGGAGUAAAUAGGGAAGUAAGACAAACAAACUGAAACAGAGGGAGAAAUUUUUCUUCUUCUUAUUUUUUAGCUUAAAUAUUAGAUGAAGUAGAUGCUUUUCAUCUUGUUUCUAAGUAUAUCAUUUUUAUUGAGGAAGAAGCUGCUAUUCAGCAUCCAAAACUACACCAAAAAUGUAAUAUUGUCAACUCUGAUAAACUUAAUAGGUCAUACGAUUGUGGAAAGAGGUCGUAAAUAUUGAAUCUUCUGCUCUGUAUAUAAUUGAUUAAUUGUACAUUGUCAACUCAUGAAUAAGGUACCUGGAAAGCUGCUUUCACGUCAGCUUUUGACGUUCUACGAUGUCCUUACUUUGGUCACUAGGACCAAGCGUUGAUGGUAAUGGUGAAGCUUCUGCAUAAUAAUUGGUACUGGGACUGCCACUCAUAUAGCAAUUUUUGACAUUCUACUAUUUCUUUACUUUAAUCACUAGGAGAACACCUUGAUGGUUAUAGUGAACCUUCUGCAGAAUUAUUAACUUAUUUCACAUGUUUAUUGCGAGAUUUGCGACUUACCCACCAGUUUUCAGGUUUUUACUUACUGUUUAGUUAAUUGUUUGUCGUAACUUUGGUGAAAACGAUUAAGAACCAGUCUGUUUACAAUAGUUCUGUGGAAUGAACCAUGAUUAUAAAUAAAACACGAUAAUCAUGUCCUUGUUCCAACUUGUAGUAAUGUACUCUUCUUGAUUCUAUUCAAUAGGGACACAAAGAGUGGGUGACAGAAGUCAAUGUUCUCGGUGUUGCUGAACAUAAAAACCUCGUCAAAUUAGUUGGCUACUGUGCAGAAGAUGACGAGAGAGGAAUUCAGCGGCUUUUGGUGUAUGAAUACAUGCCUAACAGAAGUGUCGAAAACCAUUUGUCAGCUAGGUCAGAAACCCCUCUCUCCUGGGCAAUGAGGUUAAAGAUAGCCCAAGAUGCUGCUCGUGGCUUAGCAUACCUACAUGAAGAAAUGGAUGUUCAGGUGCUUUUUCCACUUAGCUAUUUGCACCUAUACAAAGGUGUAAACUGUGUAACUAGCAAGGACUUCAUCGCCUUAAUGCCUUUUGUGUUGUUAGCUCAAACUGUUAAUGUUUUGAGUCAGCUAUCGUCCAGAAUCCUGAUGUCUCUCUUCUUUUAUAUUGUAGAUUAUCUUCAGAGAUUUCAAAUCUUCAAACAUUCUCUUGGACGAACAGUGGAAUGCAAAGUUGUCAGACUUUGGAUUGGCUAGGUUGGGACCUCCCGAGGGUCUAACCCAUGUCUCAACUGCGGUAUACUCCCUUAACUUGUUUGCAUGCAUCUUAAUACAUGUGUCCUGAAGACCUUGUCCUUUGGUCUUUUUCACCUUUUCUUGUUCGUUCAUCGUUUCUUCCUAUGAUGCACAUUUCAUGGUUCUAUCAGGUUGUUGGAACCAUGGGAUAUGCUGCUCCUGAAUACGUUCAAACUGGCCGUCUUACUUCCAAGAGUGAUGUAUGGAGCUAUGGUGUCUUUCUCUACGAGCUGAUUACUGGUCGACGCCCUCUGGAUCGAAACAGGCCUAGGAGUGAGCAGAAGCUCUUAGAGUGGGUAAAGCCAUACAUAUCAGAUUCUAAGAAGUUUCAGCAGAUAAUAGACCCAAGGCUUGAUGGUAAGAUCUCAAGGUCAGCUCAGAAGCUCUCUAUAGUCGCCAACCGCUGCUUAGUCAGACAUGCAAAGACACGUCCAAAAAUGAGCGAAGUCCUGGAAAUGGUGAACAAAGUUGUCGAGACAUCAACAGGAAUAGGAAACCCUGGACCACCUGUGAGAAUCGCGGAACCAACUUCACCAGAAUCUACAAGGAAAGGUAAGAGGAAGGUAGACACCAAACUCGGAGAUGGUAGCCGGUUAGUACGUAUAUGGUCAACAAAGCUUACAAACACUUGUUAAUACAAUAGUUUCCAAUAUGCACAAAGAGAAAACAGAGUUGAAAAGGUAAUGAAGAAGCACAGAUUAUAUAACUAGUUCCCAAUAUGAAUGAGGUCUUCUCCAUUAUUGUCUUAUAUUUAUAUAUAAUAUAGAUGUUUAAAUUUAUAGAGAAAAUCGUAAUCAUUCAAAUGUACAUUCAAAUUUAGACGUGUUUAACAAAUGAGGCAUAAGUGUUGCUAUUUGUAUGAAGUUAAGCAUUAUUGUCUCUUUGUUUGUUUUCUCUUUUCAUUGUUUCAAAAUUUUGAAGCUUAAAGUUAAAUUGGACCUUAUGUGUUCCUAUAUAUAUUAUGGUAUUUAAUCAAAUUAUUAUUGUGUGUUUUGUUACACCCUCUCUCUCUGUAAUACUACUGAUAUUGAUAUUUUCAAUUUUGUAAAUAUACUAUAUAAUUUAAGUAAUAAGAAUAGUAUAAAAUGGAGAUGGACUAAUAUAUGCUUAUAUGAAUGAUUAUAGAUUUUGAAGUUUGCGAUUUAAAAUUUUGAGUUUUUAAAUUUGAACUUGAAAUUGGUCCUCAAUUUUUUUUAAAACAGAUUUUAAAAUUUAAUUCAAAAUCUAUGGUCAAAUAUAUAUUUUAAGAUAAAUUUUCAAAAGUUAUGACCAAACGCUAGUUAAGUUCCAAUCACACAAGAAGUAUUUCAACUAAUCCAAUGUCAUAUUAAAGAUACCGUGCAAAUUUCAUGCCCUCUCUAUUCUGUUAGUUGAUUAAUUACAUAUAUCGUGUUAUCAAAUUGGCUGAGUUGGCAAAGCCGACUAAUUCUAACCUCUGAAGCUCAAUAACUCACGAUCAAUCUCGAUCCUUCACGUGACAAUUAUUAUAACUAAAUUUUGAAUCAACCCGAACUUGUGACCUUGAGGUUCAAAGAGAUUUUAAUAGUAACUUUUAUGAUUUUGCUUUCACUUAAAAUAAUAUUGAUUGUUUUUUUUAAAAAAAAAGAACAGAUUUAUAUUAAAAAGAAAUGAAAACUCUACUUUAUCAUAAAUAUUUUAGAAUUUUAUAUCAAAUAACUUAAAUUUUCAUAAUAAUAAAUAAAGUUUUUUUAAUAACAUCCAAAGUAAUAUAUUGCAAAUAAAUUAUUAAUAUGUUGUAACUAGAAAGAGGUAAUAUAUUGGAUCCUAAACUUGACUUCAAAUUUUAACUUUACCUUCAACUUUCAUAAUGCACAAACAGACACAUUUACUAUCCAACUUUUAAAUAAAUAAAUACAUGAGUCCUACAUGGCACAAUACACGUAGGACACCACGUAGGAUAAAAAAUGACAUGUAAGACGAUACGUAGGACAUGUGUGUCUAUUUGUUCAACUUUAUAUAAGUUUAAGUUUCUACUUGUGCAUAUUCAAAAGUGAAGGACAUAAAUAUCAUUUAAAGCCAAGUUAAAUAGCAUAUUUAUGUAUUAUGUCUAACUAGAAUUAAUCCUUACUUUUAGAUUAUUAUAACUACUUUUAUUUAUAAUUAUAUAUAAUUUUAAGUGGGCAGGAGCUGUCAUAUUUAUAUUGCUCAAAAGAAUAGGAGAAAUACACUCAAGAUUAUAUUACUAGCUCUCUUCCAUUAUUGUCUUAUAUCAUCUGUAGAAUUGAUAGCUAGUGGAGACUAUGAACUAUAUGAGAGUUGCUGUAGAAUUUUUUAGUGAUCUAUAACGAUAAAUAAAAAAAAUUUAGUAUUUGAUAUAAAAAAUCUGAAGCUUUCAUAAUAAUGCUCAUCUUGUUAUAUAUUUUAUAAUUUCCAUGAUACACAAGAAAAUGAAAAAGAUAAAAAGGUCUAUGUUUUUCUAUUGAAUCUUAUAAUAUCGACAAUAGAAUUUUUUUUUCUUUUGUGAUGUUAAAUGAUCAGUUUUCUUUUAAAAGAUGUCUUGUAAUGUCACUGAUGUUAGCUAAUAAUGAAAGAGAAUGAUGCAUACAAUUAUAUUAGUUUGCUAAAAAAUGGCAAUUUGGGUGGACAAUGUAUGAGUGUGAGUUCUUCACUGAGUUUAUUAUUUUUUUACUAGGUGGGUGGUGAAAAAAUAAUUUUUUAUUGUAUCAUCUAUAUUGAUGAUACUCAUUUUGUCAGAAGUCAUUUUCGUUUUUGAAAUUAUCAUUUAAAUUAUACUAUAUAAAAAUUAUAAAUUUACUAUUUGACUCUCAAAAUUAAUUAUUUUUGUGUGAGCUUUAGCUAUAUAUCAUAAAAUUCAUUACUUAGAAUUUCAAUUAUAAAUGUGUGAAACAGACUCAUUUUGCACAAGUCCAUGCAAUCAUAUUGAACUUUAGACAAUCGUUGAAGUCUAUUAACUUGUACCAAAUUCUAAAAAAUAGAACGCAUAUUUAUUAUAUAUGAAAAUUUUACAAAGUAUAUAAUAUAAUAUAAAAUAACAUGAUCACGAUCGAAUAUAUACAUAUUGAUGAAUGAACUCCUUUUAACUAUGAAUAGUCGUAUAUUAUAUAUGAAAAAUGAGACUUACAUAAGCAUAUUACAUAAAGAAACUUUAAUAUUAUCAAUUCAUCCAAGAAAAUAUUUACAUCCAAUUUUUUUAUAGAAAUACUAUUUAGUUAUUUUAUUUUUAAAUUAUAAAUAUAUUAAACUCUAAAUUGAUAAUUUAUAUAUAAAAAAAAUAGCUCGACACCAAACGUGGUGGCCGACAUAGACUUUAACGAAGCACACGGAUAAGAAUCGUAUAUUUUUUUCCUAGUAAAUAAAGUGGCUUCAUAUCAAAGAAAAGUUUAUGCUAAUUUAAUUUGUCCUAUUAUAUAAGUAGAGAGGAUUUAUAAUUUAAUAUUUAUGAGUUUUAUAGUAAUUUUAAAUAAAUAUAUUAAUAUUGAGUUUUCUUAAUAAAUAUGUACGAACUCAUAUGAAAUACAUAUCCACCUUUUUUAAUAAUUAAAUAGUGAUAAAUAUUUAUUCAUAUUUGAUAUUUAUAUUGGGUUAGAUAUACUAGUAAAUAUUUAAAAGUAAUUAAUUAUAUUUUAUUAAUAAAUGAACUUGUAUCUUUUUAAAUUACAUAGCUAUGAUAAUUGUAUAUGGUUUAAUAUUCGCUUAGUAAAUAUUUUUUAUUUUUUGGAAAUCCUUCUUAAGAUCAUUACAGAUUGAAUUAAAUUAGAGGUGUGAUCGAUUGAUUAAUAUUUCUUCAACCCUUCUUUCUAUGUCAUUUUAAAUAUACACUCUUUUAUUGUCUAAUUAAAUUAGAUAUUUAAAGCAUGAAUAAUUAUUUUUAAAAACAAUUAUUUUAAAUGUUAAUAAUACAUUAAGAGUUGUGGCCUUUUGGCUAUAUUGAAAGUGGUGUAACUUUGUAGUUAUGACCUUUGUGUUUUUUUUCUUUCAAAUAAUGUUAUAUAUAAUAAGCUUUAAUCUCAAUGAUGAAAAUGAAGUAAAUUAUUUUUUAUUUAACUUCAGUAGAGUCACGUACAAUAUCGUGAUGACAACAUUAUUAAAAUAAAUAAGCCAACAAUAACCAUGCAUAUUUUCCAUCAAAUUAAAAUGAAAAAAAAAAAUGUUUUCUACAAUGUCAAUUUGAACUGCGAAUAACAUUUUAAAUUUAGAAAAAUUAGUUGGUGUUAUACGAAGCGUUACAUGUUUUCGAACAUACGAAGAGACUAACUCUGAUAUAUAUUUUGUUAUCAAAUAUCAAUUGAUUUCAAAGAUAGUGAUUUAUAAAUUAUACAAAGUCGAUUUUGUCAUUAUUUCAAAACUUUAUCAUUAAAUUGAUAGUCGUAUAUCACUCAGGACAACCAAAAUCAAAUAGUAAAAGCUUAAAAAAUUGUAUAAAAAUCCUCCAUUUAUCAAACUGUUGAAUUUAUAUGUCAUCCCAUAUGAAGGCGUUAGCAUCUUAGCGAAACUUUUAAUUACAAUUAACGAAUAAUAUUUAUUGGUUGAAAUCGAACCUUAUCUCAAGAGUGGUUGCUUUAGUUUAUACCAACAGUACAAGGGCAUUAUAUGCUCCUCCUUAAUAUAUAUAUACAUAUACACAAAUUUAUUUAGUUUUAAAUUAACGAAUGCACAUAUACUCUCCAUCUAUAUACGUAAGUCCGCCUCUAAUCCAACAUUAUUCAUGCAUCUACCUUCACAGUGGGGCAAGAGCUUACUAAUUUACUUUUAUAUAUAUAUAUAUAUAAUUUAAUAUAAAAAAUAAAUAAAGGACAAAUGUAGUAAUGUGGACAACUCCUUUAUGUAUAAGCAAAACAUCGCAAGUAAUAUUCUAAUUUAGUCCAUCAUGAUUCAUGGGUUACGUACAUCAAUACCUAUUUUAGUAUUGUUAUUAAUAAAUUAUUUAUUUUUGGGAGUUGUCGAAAAAAUAAAAAUUUAAAAAAUGUUGAAAUUAUUGAAUGAAAUGUUACUAUAUUUAUUUUUGAAUUUUUGGCGUUAUAUAUAUUCUUUUUUAAUUUUUUUAAUAUUUUUUAUUAAUCAAUUAUUCAUUUUUGAGAUUAUCGAAAAAAUAAAAAUUUUAAAAAAUAUAUUAAAAUGUUAGAUUUAAGGUUACUAUAUUUAUUUGUCAAUUUUGGAGUUAAUUUUAUAUUUUUUUUUUCAUAUUUUCCCUAUAUUUUAUUAAUCAAAUACUCAAUUUUGGGAUUUACCGGGAAAAAAAAAUUAAACAAAGUUGUUAAAUGGGUCGGAUAGUGUAUUUAAAAGGAGUUGAUUUAUGGAUUAGAUGAGGUGUUUAUGAGUCCGAAUAUCUUUCCAUAUUCAUAUAAAUGUCAUGUGGUAAGGUCAAAAUGACAUAACAAUUCAAUGUGACAUUCAAAGAAAUAAAAAAUGAGUUGGAUAUGUCAAACAUGACAACUAACGCUCGAUUGAUAAGUUGGUUGAAUAUUAUCAUUAAAAAAAUAAUAAUAAUAAUAAUAAUAAUAAUAAUAAUAUAUAUAUAUAUAUAUAUUAAAUUAAAUGGAAACGUGUGAAUUGAAAAUUAGUAGACAAGAAUUGAAUGAUAAAAAAAAUACAACGAAUUUGGACAAAGCCAAAGGAAAAUUGAAUAAGGUUGGUAUUCCACGUUAAUAUAUUAUUACUCCAAUUUUUUUCGAUCAGCAAACUCAUGAUUGCUAAUUUUUUUUUUUCAUAUAGUGCGAAUUACAUUAAAAAAUAAAUAAAUUAUACAUGAUAAUUUUUGAAUAUCAAAUUCGAUCAAAAAAAUAUAUAUACGAUUUAAUAUAAAAAGUUUUAUUUAAAAAAUUACUUUGCUCAAUCAACUCGAUCACCUUUCUAUAUUCAUAUUAAUUAUAUAUAUAAUCUUAGCCUUAAAUUUUCACCAAAAUAUGUUAGAAAUUGAUUCACAUUAAUUAUAUAUAAUCUCAGCCUUAAAUUUUCACCAAAAUAUGUUAGAAAUUGAUUUCUCAUUGAGGGUACAUGACUAAAAAUAAUUAAAUAAAGAGAUCCCAACAUUUAUUUCCAUCUUUUCUUUUUUCCAUAUUCCAUUAAAUUUCAUCCAUGAAUUUGUUUGCAUAUAUACCUACUAUAAAAAUUAAACAUUAAUGAUCUAUUAAAUAUAUAUAAAUUAUAUGACAAUGUAAAUUCUUUUUAGACUAUUAGUGUAGUUUAACAUAAGUUAAUUAACAUUACAUCACUUACCAUUCUUUUUUUUUUUAAAAAAAAAAAAGUUACCUAUCCUUUUAUGUAUUAAAAUAUCAAUAAUCCUCAAAUUUUUAAUCAAAUUUUAUUUAGAUGUUUAAAUUAUGACUUAUUUUAAUUAAACAUUUCAAUAUAUGAUAAAAUAUUUUUAUUACAUAUUUUAUUCAAACUGUGGAUAUUAAUUUUUAUACAUAAUCUCAAUUGAAACAUGUAUAAUGUUUACGACUUAUAAUUUGAUACAAUCAUAUUAGUUACAUGAUAGAUUUUUACUACUCGACCAAUAUAUACUCAUGCUAUAUACACAUUCAUUAAGAAGGUAAUUAAAUUAUUUUUUUAUUUAUACCCUUCCACCUUUUUACUCUUUUAAUAACUCGAAUUCACUAUUUAAAUCAUGAGGUGAAAGAUGUUUACCCCGCAACCUGUAUUAUCAGUAAAUCAAUUGCUUUUUACUCUUUUUGACAACUCGAAUCAAAGUCUUAAACUAAUUUUCUUUCUCUUUAAAGGUUUCGUCUUUUCUAUUUUUUUGACGAUUUACAUUCAUAAUCUUAAUGUAUGAAAUUCGUACGCAUAAUUUUAAACGAGAAAGUAAAAAAAAAAAUGCUUAUUACUUCUCACCUGAACAACCUCUUUUAUUGGUAAACUAAUUUCUAUUACCCCUAAACACUACUUUUCUCAUAUUUUUUCACAUAUUAUAUAAAUGAUCGGAUCGUAUAAAAAUAAAAAAUAAAAAAAAGGAUUGUUAGAAAGGGCGGUAUAAAGCAACGGUAUCUUUCAUUUUACUCAAAAGGAAAACCCAAUCCUUAAAAAAAAUAUAAAAAAUAAAUAAAUACUUUCAUACACAAAUUCCUCUAUAAAUUAAAAUCUCUUUUUUACGUUUCAAACCAAAAAAAAACUUUGUAAAUUCGCUUUUUUUUUUCUUACUCUAUAUAUAAAUUUCAUUUUUCUCUCCAUAAAAAAUAAUUAUCAUCUUUAUCACUGCUUAUACAACACAAAUUUAUAAUUUUUUUUUUGUAUAGCAUAUGAAGUGGAAUCGAAUUAAAGGUUAGUUUUUUGAUGAUUAUUUUUCUGAUUGAUUUGUGAUUAGUUCCUAUUUUCAUGAUUUUUAGUUAUUAUUUUUUCAAGUUUGUUGAUUUUUUUGCUGAAUUGUUUUAUGUUAAAGUUUCGAAUUACUUCGUCAAUAGGGAAAACGUGUAAAUGGAGUAAUUGGUGGUAUUUUUUUAAUUUUUUUUUGUAUUUUGUAUGGUUUUAGUGUAAUUUGUUUUAUUUUUAUGGAUUUUGGCGGGGAGAAGGGUUGAGGAGGAGGAUUUAUUUAUUUGUUUGUAAUUAAAAAGUUAGAAAUUAGGUUUAAAAUAUUUGUAUUGUAUUAGUUGGUGAAAAAUGAAGAAUUAGACUGAAAGUUGAAUUUUUGAAAGUCAAAUGUAGAAAUUAGAACUAGGGAUGGCUAUAAGAUGGAAGAAAUUUAGAACAAAAAUGUUUAAUGGGUGUUUUAGGGGUAAACGAAAUUGAAAUUUUUUUAUGCGGGUUGUGGGAAAGGAAUGAAUUUAUUUAAGUUGAGCAAAGGGUUUAUCGGAAAUAGUCUCUCUAUCUUUGAGGUAUGGAUAAUAUCUGUGUACAUCGUACUCUUCUCAAACCUCGCUUUGUGGGACUACGCUGAGUAUGUUGUUGUUAUUUAAGUGAAAUGGAUAUACUUGGUAAAACAUAAAAUGUAUUUGAUGAGAAUAUUUUUCAUAAAGAAUUGUUUUUUUAACCCGGUAAAUUUGUUGGAUAUAAUAGUAGGUGAUAUUUGGUAAUUGUACAAAGUGGUGGAUUGGGUAUGAAGAUGAUAUUUUGGUGAUAUUGCUGAGUAAUAAAGGUUGAAAUAUUAAUAAAACAAGUAAAUAUGGAGUAUGAAUUAGAAUAUUUGCGAAGAAAAAUGACUUCGGUAAUAGAAGUCAUUUUCCCUUUUUGGUAAAAGAUUAUCACUUUGUGAAAGGAUCUUCUAUAAUUCAAGGUGGGGAAAAUGCUGGAAAAUGAUAUCAUCUUGAGAAAUUGUUUUUUGCAAUACUGAGCAAUAACUUUUAGGUAAUUAGGCUGGUGAGCCAAUGACUCUAAAGGUUGAGUUGAUCCUUUCGUUUCUCUUUUCAUGCUUUAGUUCUUUAUCUAGGUAAGUUGUCGUUGGUAUCGCCCAAAAAUGUUUUACGAAAGUAAAAUGCUUCCAAGAUCAACUUUUUAGUGGGCUAUAACAGUUGGUGUUGUAUAACAGCAGUGCAGGUAGGUUGCAGUGGUGCUUUGUGAUAAUAACAAGUAAUAAGAGGAAUGUUUGAUAUAUUGGUAGGGACUGCGGUAUGGAGAAGGAUAGAAUUUUUUUUGGCAAUCGAGCUGGCGGCUAUGUUGUUUAAAUAUAGUCUAUUGAACAAUUAUUCUAGUACCAUCACCAGUAUUUGUGUAUAAAGAAGUACAAUUGCGUGAUCUUCCAUUCCAACUGUUAAAAAACAAAAAUCAGAGUUAUCUUAGCCUUCUUAGCUGAGCCCUGCAUUAACGUGCUCACUCUAUUCAGGUACAAGUGAUUGAUCCAAUUUAGGGGUGAGAAGACGUUUUUGACUUUGGCAACUUUUUCUGAAAGGUGUAAUGUCGUGUGAGCCAGAAUAUGAUGCUGCUCGUGGGGUUCUUAGUUUUCUCGAUGUGGACCAACUUUUUAGUUCCAACUAUUACGGUGACAGUACACAGCAUGACAUUGAAAUCUGUCAUGAACAAUAUUCCACAGAAAACCCUUAUCACCCAUCAUAUUGCAAUGUUGACAAUGAUGAGGUUAUUGCUCAUGCUCUACAAGAAGAAUGGUCAGAGUUGUGCAUUACAGAAGAUGCUCAAUCUUCACAUGCAGAUGAUCAGUACUUGCAAGCCUCCACUGGUGUACAGCAUUGGCAUGGUUCUCCAAGGGAGUACUAUGCUGGUAUAUUUCUUGUUUCCAAUUUUGGGAUGUCUCUCGAGUUCAAACAUUCGCUAAUAUGCAUAUGAUUCACAGGGCAUGAUGCUGGUGUGGAAGCUAAUGAUGUAGGGCCUUCAAGUUCUUGCUCUAGUCCUGGAGACAGAUCAUACGAUGGAGAAGAGUAUGCUUACACAUUGGAAAUACAAGAUGAAUUUGAGAUUGAUGGAGAAGUAGGGAAGAGAAUAAACCAGCUGAGUGCUAUUCCUGUAAGUGCUGUCUGUUAGUAAAUUGUAGGAGCUUUGAUGAGCUUGAAAUUCCCCUCUUCUUUGGGACUUUCAUUGUAACUUUCUGAGUGGCUGCUUUGUGCGAGUAACUAGACAACUAAUUCACUGUGUAUGAGGACUUGUAUGGUGCUCUGUACCUGUGACCAUUUACUUGGCACUGGUUACAUAUAUGUUUAGCUUUGUUGAAUAAUAUCAUCAGAUCAUUACCUUCUUAAAUCAGCAGCCAACCAGCUACCCAAAUAUUUCUAUUCAUCUGGAUACCGACUGUAUUAUAUUAAAGGAUAUGAUAAACCAUAUUUGUUUUUCAAGAACAAAUACUUGAUAAAAGAUAGAGACUGUUAGAUGAAAUUGUCUUUACAGUCAUAUACAUACUUGGUAUGUUGUGAAUGUACUGAAAUAGGAAGCCUUUUGCUUUGACCAUGUAGACUUUUUUGUGUGGAUAUACCUUCUUGAAUGUUUCUUUAGUUUCUUAUAAUAAUUUGUAUUAUUAACCGUGCAGCAUGUUCCUAGAAUAAACGGAGACAUACCUUCAGUUGAUGAAGCAACAUCUGACCACCAAAGGCUGCUAGAUAGGUAUCUCUUGAUCCGUCCGACUUAGGUUUUCAAGUGAACAUUUUUUUUUGGUUUAUGAAGAACUUAAUGACAUCUUUCCUAAAGGCAGUGCUUUGCGUAAUUCUCUCCAAUGUCCUGAGAACUUUUCGAGCUAAUGAAAUAAAGCUUCACUGCGAGAAAUGUAAACCUGUCUUGUGAUAGCUGUCUCACGUCUCCAGAAGCUUUUCUGGGUCUUCUUUUCUUAGGUUUUUCCUUUGUUUAUAACUGGCCUUUCUAAUUCCUGGUUGUUCCUAGAGCCUGCUAUUCGAAAAGUAACACCUAACUCCCGAAGCAUUUUAUGAAAAAGCGAAUCAAAUAGGAGAGAUGGGACUUGAGACAAGCACAGGAAACAAUUGGUGUGCAUUGAGCAAGCUAGCUUUCUGUUGCUUUGAAUACUUAUGAAGCAUAUUCAAGUAGAUAUUGUGAUUUCUUUGUCCAUAAAGUCACAGGACACCAUGAAUGUGUUCUUUUCUUUUUGGUUUUACUCCACAUAAGUAUAAUCUGAAGUUGAUAUUUUUUCUAAUUCAAUGGAUUGUUAAUAUUAUUGCUUUUAAGUUAUUUUCUGCUAAGCAUCCUAUGCUCUGGUUUUUCUAACUUCAGAUUGCAAUUAUUUGACUUGGUGGAGCACAAAGUGCAAGGGGAUGGAAAUUGUCAGGUUACCCUCUUACCUGGUUCAUUUGUGUUGUAGUAAUGAUACUAAACUGUCUAGAUGGGGCUUUCAUGUGUUGAUUUUAAGUUGAAGCUAAAUAUUUAUACUUCCGUUUCUCAAAUGACUUGUAACAUAGUUAUCAAUCAUACACAAAAGAAGGCACCAGAAUUGUUUUAAGUUUGUAUUGAGAACUCAAAAUGAGAUAUUGUUGGGCUGCUUACCCUGCCAAAUUAUUAUAAUUAGCUGUGAAAUCUCAUUAGUUAGACAAGUGGACAAAUUAAAUUUUCUUAACCUUAUAAUGCUUUUAUGGGGUUUGGAAAGAUGGCCCAGCUUUCCUUCUGUGGGAUUAGUCUUCUUCAGGGAAUCUAAGCUUGUUGAAAUAAGGUGACAUCCUACAUGUUUCUUUUGCAUAUCUACUGACCUGUUCACUUUUGUUUCAGUUCCGUGCUUUAUCAGAUCAAUUCUAUCGUGGUCCUGAGCACCACAAAUUUGUCAGACAGCAAGUAGUCAAUGAGGUGCUUGUUUAAGUGAAUAUGAUUAUCUUCUUUCUGAUACUCUGGUUUUAUACUUGAAUUAUUUCAAAAAUUCGAAUGCAUUUUACUAAGUAGGUUUUGUAAAAUCAUUUGGUUUGAUCAGCUUAAAGAACAUCCGGAGAUAUAUGAGGGGUAUGUCCCAAUGGCAUAUGAUGAAUACUUGAAGAGGAUGUCCAAGUAAUUAACAUACCUUUGUUUCUCUAUGUUGAAACUUCUUUUCUCCUUUAAUCUAAAUCUGCUUUUAUUUUGGUCUAACCAGGAAUGGGGAAUGGGGAGAUCAUGUUACGUUGCAGGCUGCCGCUGACUCGGUAUUGAUUAUUGCUCUUACUUUGCUUCCUUUGUUUUAUUUCUCUCCAUUUGAUUGUGGUCUUUUGGUUGGUCACUUUACUGUGGAAAUAAGAACUUUAAGCUAUUGCUAGACAGACCAUAAUUUGAAUGUCCUGGUCCUGGUAUAGAGGCAUUGGAUAUUCAAGUAGCUUGUUAAUUGCACAUUGAUGGGCGUUGAGGAAGUAAACAUGCUUCUAUAUAAUCUUUACUCGUGGUCACGUAGUUGUUCAUGACCGGAUAUUAACCAUUUAUUUUUUAAUGUGGAAGAAAAUGCACGUCAGCGUCCCUCUCCAUCUUGUAUUUCCUUCUUUCACUCUAUCAUGUGUGGUCUUGAUGCAUUCUUUCAAGAUUUUGCUUGUGGUGAUCUAAGAUCAGAAUCCAUUGGUUUAUAAAUGAACUUAUUUCUGUUGCACAUUUGACUGUCUUUUUGCCUUGUGGGCAGUAUGGCGUGAAAAUUCUUGUUAUAACUUCAUUCAAAGACACAUGUUACAUUGAGAUCCUUCCGAAGAAUCAAAAGUCAAAUAGAGGUAACUAGUUCUCAAAUUUUCAAUUGCUUUUACCUUUCUGUAAUAUAUCCUCUAUUUAAAGAAUGUGAUUGAACAAUUUUUACUUUUUUUAAAAAAAAAAGAGAAUUUGGAAUUGGGAGUUUAUAUUUAGUGACAAUAGAAAGCUUGAAACUGUAAUAAACAGGGCAAACUUUAUAUCGGUUAAUGCAUCCUUGUCAUCUAUUCUACGCCAUUGUAUAAUCAAUACCUCUACUGUAAAUCUGGAGAUUGCUUGGAAAAGGAAUUGAAGUUUGAAUAAAAAUGUUUGUUGACGGGUAUUUUGUGGCGGGGCUGCAAACUAGAUGAAAGAGCGGUGUUUGAAGUCUUGAUAUCUUGAUUCCGUCAAAGAAACUUAAUUGUUUCUCUUUGUUCUUUUCUUCGUGCAGUCAUAUACUUGAGUUUCUGGGCGGAGGUGCACUACAACUCAAUCUACCCUCAAGGAGGUUAUUACUUUUGUACAUUUUUGCCCUCUUUCCAUAUGAUUUGUCUUAGCAUUGUUAAGUCGUCUAUAGGAAGGAAGAAAACGAAGAUCUUGAAAAGCCGGAGGGGGUACAUGCACAUUUUCCCUGAAUUAACAUAUACUCCCUUCCUUCCUGUUUACGUGAUACUAUUUCCUUAUUAGUCUAUUCCAAAAGAUCGACACAGUUCUAUAUCUAGAAACAAUUAAACUGUGUACUUCAAUUUCACACCUAAUCAGAAAUGAUGUUAUCGUAUGUUUCAAAAGUCUUCAUUUUUUCUUGAAUUCCGCGUUGAUUCAAAACUAUGUCACGUAAAUCGGGACUUUGGGAUGAAGGGAGAAUUUUUGUCACUUGCUUUCUUCAUUUACAUUAUCCUAAAUGCUGCAUUCCAGACUUCCUGCCAUGUGAUGAUUUCAAGAAGAAGAAGAAGAAGUGGAGUUUUUGGAACAAGCAUUAAGAGUUCUUGACCUGUUUUAUUCAAGCUGAACUUUACCUACCUGCAAUGGCAUCAUCUCGGUUACGGUACAGAGGUUCCGGGUCACGUACUUACUUUACAUUACAACAACAGCUAUGCCUCAAUCCCGAACAAGUUGGGGGUCAAGUAGCUUUGCAUUAUUUUUUCUAUAUGAUAAAUAGUACUUAACUUUAUAUUCUUAUAAUUGUUCACAUAAUUAUUAUUAACAUAUAGUACUAGUUUGUUCUAAGUUGGCAUAAUAAGAUCAUAUUGUUAUAUUCAUAUUUUGUUUCUCUUCAAACAUUGUCCUCCACAUGAUAUACAAAUUAAAGAUUUCCCAACUCUCACCUUGUUAAAUUAAAGAGUUAUUAAAUAUAAGAAACAUCCAAUUUUUUUAAAUAUAUAAUUAUGGUAAAUAUCUUAUAUGUUUUCCAAUUGAAUAAAUCGCACCGAAAGAGAAAACGGUAAAUAUCUUAUAUGUUUUUCAAUUGAAUAAAUCGCACUGAAAGAGAAACUACGCGUUUUUGAUGUACAUGGCUUUGACUUGAGUCGUUGCCCUGCUACUAAUAAACUGUUCGUCCUAUUAAAUCUAAGUAACGAAUGAAGAUUAAAUAAAAUCGAAUUAUGAAUUCACAAAUAAAGUUUGAUAUAUCAUAAGCUUUUUAAUUUCAAAAUACAAAUUUCUUUUCUUAUUUUAAUAUUUCAUCCAUUCAAAACUUGACAUAAACUAUUAAAAUGAACAAAAGAUUGAAACAAUAUUACAACAUUUUGAGUAAAUGUAACAACUUCCUCAUCCAUGAACAAUACUUUUCUUUUACAAAUACAAAAAGAGAGUUACUACUAAUAAAAUAUAUAUAAAAAAUUUAACAUUUAACCCCUAAAUUAACUUAUUUUUACUAAAUUCACCCCAAACCCAAAAAGCUGAACCCUCUUUUGAUCCUUUUUCCAAUCUUUUAGAUAUUAGCAAAAAAGGACCUACAAAAGUCUAGUAACUGACACAUUUAGUCCAAAAAAGCUGCCAUUAGUCUAUAUCACAAAAAGAUAAGGAUUAAAACUUAUCCAUAUCUCUACUGUUUCUCAUCUUCUUCGGCGACUUUCUCUUCGCCGUCAUCGGCGGUCACCGGCUGUAAAAGCAACGCCGUGAACGGCAUAUGCCGAUACGCAUUGCCGGAAAAUUCUAACGACGGUUGGCACAAAUCAAGCCGGCAAUUUGGCUGCGAUUGUGGAGUCAUAGAGAAAAAUCCACCACCUACCGGAAAUCCAGAAACAGGCGUAGCUCGUGUUAACGGAGCUAAAACCGACGGUUGUGACUGAGACAACGGUAUGUUCUCCGACGUCGUAGUGACUUGAGUCGCCGGAACCGUACCUGUUCCUGUAGCAGCGAUGAUUGCUGGUUCAGCGUUACGGAGAAGCCACUCUAUCGUUUCUCCGUCAGUCCUAUGACCUAGUUCCUUCGUUAAUUGAAAAACACGCGCCGCGCAUAACGCCGGCAUCCUUACGCGCCGUCCUCUACCAUUGACUUUUGUAUGCCUGUCUUUGCUAGAUGAAACGGAUAACGCAUUCUUCUUCUUCGUCGGAACGACCGCGAGCGCAGUUUUGCCAUUUGUUUCUGAGUUAACGCUACCGUUCCCGACGCCGGAGAUUGCACCGGAAACAACUAUUUCUGAACCCAUUUUUAGGGUUUUUUUUUUUUUUGAAUGGAGGGAAAAGUAGUACUUUGUGCUUUAGGGAUGAAUUUUGAUUUUUAAUAGACCCCACAAAAAUGGAAAAGAGUUUUUAUAGGAAAAAAAAAUUGAUGUGAGAGUUUCUGUAUCUUCUUGGGAAGUGUGUUUGGACUGAAAGGGCCCAUUAAGCUUCAUGGGCCCAAUACUAUGUUGUGGAUCCCACUUCAGACAAUUAUUCUUUUUUUUUUAAAUAAAAAUAACACUUUAGUUGUUUAAAAAAUAGAAAACAAAUUUGUUGAAAUAAAUAGGGAAAAUGCACUGCCUCUCAAACUAUGCUCGAAAUUCCAGAGACACACUUAUACUAUACUAAAGUCCUAUUACCCUCUGAACUUAUUUUAUAAAUAAUUUUCUACUCUUUUUCGACUUACGUGACACUAAUUUGAAAAAAAAGUCAAUCAGUGUUGGACCCACAAGAUAGUGCCACGUAGGCUGAAAAGAAGUAGAAAAAUUGUUAAUAAAAUAAAUUCAGGGGAUAAUAAGACAUUAGUAUAGUAUAAGUGUGUCUUUGAGAUUUCGUGCAUAGGUUGAAUGGUUACCUGUGCAUUAUCCCAAACAAAAACAUAGUAUUUUUUUUUUUUGGUUUUGCAUUUGUAUGAAUUUAAGGGGAUGAGAGAAAAUAAUGCAUAUAUGGAGAUUUUGUAUUUGUGAGUGUAUGAAAAGAUAUUUAAGGUUAUAGUUAUGAAAUUAAAGCACAAGCUAUUAUAAUAAAGAGAAAUGGUGAUUUUGUUUUUUAUUUGUUUCGAAAGUUUUUGAAUUGUUUUUUAUAAUAGGAUAACGAGUGAUUACUCGUGAUAGUUAUUGUUGUAUCAUAUUCUAAAUUUAAUAAUCUUUAUAAAUCUCAUGUUACAAUUGUCUUGGACCAAUUUUGAAACUAUUUUUAAUAGUUUGUAUAUGCAUAAAUCAUAUUGUAUUCUUUGAGAUACGUCGAUUGUGUUAUAUUAUUUCAUCAUAAAUAAAUGAUCUUAUUAUAAGGGAAAAUGCGGAUGAAAAAACACUUUAAGAUUUAUCUACGGUAAAUUUAUUAGAUUUUAAAAUUAUGAAUAUAUUUAGAACGAAAACAUAUCCCUUACAAUUAAAAUUCGGUUUAUAUGAGUAUAUUAGUUAUUACAAAAAGACACCAAUCAAACAAUGUAGUAUCUUUAUUACGGUUUACUUAUCAUAUUUUUGAAUAAGAAAUAAACGUGCUAAAACAUGUAUUGUUAUAAAAAAUAAAAAGGAUUUUGAUUUUUUUCUUUAAUUUUAUUUUACUUUAAUAAUCGUGAAGAACAAUUGAUACGAGGUUACAGAAAAUAUGGAUUAUUAAAUAAAGUUAACUAGAUAGUUAAAGGCAUUGUCUCUUGACUUUCACUUAUUGUUACUAGUUAUUAGUCAUAACAUUACUUUUGUAAUUUCUUAUGUUUUGAUUUUGAUUAUUAUUUAUCGUUUUUUUGGUACGUUGAUUAUUAUCUUGUCAUGAUUACUAUAUAGAUUUAUUUGUCAAGUUAUCUAUAGUAUUUUAUCAGUACUUUUUUAUUUUUACUAAUCUUUUUUCUAGACUACUUUACACUAUUUUUUCUUGUGGAACUGAGGAUCUAUUGAAACAAUUUCUCUAUCUCCAAGCUAAAGACAAAAUCUGCAUACAUUUUAUUCUUUCCAAAUAUUAUUUUAUAAAAUUACGUCAAAUAUAUUAUUAUUGUACAUAUUUUUAUAGGUAAUGCAUAGAGCAAAAUAUUAGCAAUAUUAUAGGGUGAAAGUGUAUUAACAAUGUUACUUUCCCAAAAUAUGAAUAAAAUAAACAAUGUCCAAAUCUACCUAAACUCAAUUAUAAAUUUUACAUCAUCACAAUUCAAAUAUUCAACUAUUAUAAAAGGGAAUCAAAUUUUCUUGUGGUAUAUAAAUUGUUAGAUAUUUAUAAUUACACACUAAAAGCUUAUAAUUAUAUCAAAAGGAAUAUAAUGUACCAAAAUAUUUUAAUUACUAUGAUUUAUGACAAGGGCAUGUUUUAGAAAAAAAGUAAAAGAUGGAGGGGUAUUAUAGUAAAGACAAAAUAAAAAAUCUCAUCCUGUUGGGUUUUAUCAAAUUCUUGAGGCAAAGAACAAGUUCAAACAUUUGCAAAAGCCAUCACUUCCAUUCAUCUUCAAUCUUCAAAUGAAGCUUUUUUAAUUCAAGAAAAUACUCAUGCUAGCACUAAAACCCCUCUUAAUUCUGAAAAAAGAUAUCUUUUUUACACCCCACAUACCAGAAAAAUAGUGAAGAGUUUCACAAGAUAGCUUAGCUUAAAGCUAUGGAGGCUGCUGGAAGAAACCUUCUUUCUUCACCACCAACUUUUUCUCAGAAAACCCAACUCAGGAAUUGUUCUUCUUCAGGUGAAUUGUUGAAUUUUGCCCAAAUGGGAUAUAAUAGAACAGUGAGGAUUCAUGUAGCUGAAUUUUAACUAGUUUGGAUGAGGGUAAUUGUUGUUUUAUCAAUGCAUUUCUGUAUUUAUGGUUCUUCUAGUGUAGUAGCAUCCCAUUUUAUUGAUAUUUGUGGCUUUGGUUUUGUAAAGUUAAUGCCCUUAGUGAGCACCCAAGGUGUGGCCUGAAGUGAGUUGAGAAUGAUGAUGUCUUAGGUUCAACUUCCAAUUAAGACAAAAAAAAACACUAGAUGAUUACUUACCAUAUGCCGUAGCUGGUGGGAGGUGGCAGGUAAAAAAGUUGAUGGCUUUAGUGAAAUGAGGCGCCACAGUUGCUGAAUUAGCUAUUUAAUGUGCUUUCUAGUUAUGAGGAUUCAUGUAACCCAAUUCAACUAGUUUUGGUUGAAGAGUAGUUGUUGUUGUACAUGCGUGGAAUCCCAAUGUUUUUGCUUUGUUUGGUUAUUCUAGCAUUCCCAUUUAUCAAUAUUUGUGGCUUUAGUUUUAUAAAGUUAAUACCUUAGUGUUGAAUUUUUGGAAUGGACCUUGUCCAAAUGGAGCAGAAAUGAAGAAUGGAUAAAGAGGAUUCAUGUAGCCGAACCCAGCUAAUAAAUUGAAGGGUAAUUGUUGUUGUAAAUGUGUUCAAAUUCUCAUUGUUUUUCCUUCUUGUUCUUCUAACAUUCCCAUUUAUCAAUAUUUGUAGUUUUAGUUUUUUAAAGUUAAUGCCUUUAGUGAAAUGUGUUGAAUUAUUGGAAUGAACUUGUCCAAAUGGAGAAGAAAUGAAGAAUGGAUAAUGACAAUUCAUUUAGCCAAAUCCAACUAGAUUAAAUUGAAGCAUGAUUAUUGUUGUAAAUGCGUUGAAGUCCCGUUGGUUUUGCCUUCUUGAUUUUUCUAGCAUUCCCAAUCAUCGAUAUUUGCAACUUUAGUUUUAUUAUGUUAAUGUGUUUUAUAUUUUGAAAUGAAACUUGUUCAAAUGGAGAAGGAAAGCAGAACAGGUAGUGAGGAUUCAUAUAGCUGAAUUCUGUUAGUUUAGAUUGAAGCAUAAUUGUUGUUGUAAAUGUUGAAUUCCCACUGUUUUUGGCUUGGUUUUUCUAGCAGUCCAGUUAUACAUGUUUGAAACUUUAGUUUUAUAAAGUUAAUGCCUUAAGUGAAAUGUGGCAUUUACUUGAUUUAAUGUGCUUCUAGAUCACUUCAUUGUUAUGAUAUUGAUGCUAGAUUGUUGCUUACUCAGUUGAUAGAAAAGACCAUUAAUUCUAUAUUAAGUUAUCAGUGUUGGUGGAAGACUGUUGUCUCAUUUUAUGGUCUUGGGCAAUCCUUGACUCAUGAGCUAGCUUUUUGAGUUGAGUUAUAUACAUGCAUUUUUGAAUUAUCUUAAAGGUUUUUCUUACCGGGAUUCGAUUAUGCUGUUCUGUUAACAAAAUGUUUCCAUCUCCCACUAUAUUUCUAUUCUCUCCUUAUCAUUAUUUUAUCAGAAUGAUAGAGAAGUGUCAUUAUUUGGUCAAAAGUCACACAUUCUUUUGUGUUAUGCUAUGAUGGUCAGACUAUCCUAGUCUUUUACACAAUAUGAUGACCGUCACCAACCACAGAUUGAAGGUUCAAUAUUGAAAUGGUCGAUAAUAGACAUAAGAAUUUAAGUAUAUUUAACUAAAAUUGUUCUUCUUUAGGAUUGAUAAUUGUAGAUGCCAUAAGAAUUAUUUUCUUAAUCAGAUGUCUUUAGUUUCAUCUUUCAUGUAACCACUUCUUACUACAGAAGAAACAAUGAGUUUCUAGUUUUAAUAGCUUAUGGGAUUGUCCAUUACUAAAGACGUGUAUAAAAUAGUAGGCUAGAAUCCUGAAUCCGAUGUGAAAUAUUAACCUGUCUGCUAAGAGGGCUAACUAUCUGAGAUACCAGAAAUAUCCCAAAGUUGGCUAGGAUGAAUGAUUGUUAGAAGGAUAAUCCCAAGAAACUCGGUGCAGUUUAGUACUACGUAUCGCCAUUUCAAAAAAUAAUACCACAGUAUUGCUUCCUUAGAGGUGUUUUUUAAUACUUAUAAAGUAGGAACCAUUGACAUAUCUUCUUCCGCUUUUAUGGCUGUAGCUCUCAAUCGUUAAUGCAAAUAAUCCUGUUCUUUAAGGAUAUAUGUUUAAUUUUACAUUAUGAAACUUGCAGUUCUGAUGCUUCAUGAGCAUGCUGCUCCUGUGCUUUCUUCAGUGCCCCAUACUUAUUUGGGUCGAUAUGUUCCUGCAUCAGCUAUCGGUCCGGAGCAGCAUUUUGAGAAUCGGCUGCAAUUGCACCUAGUAAAGGAAGAGAAAACAUCCCUGGUGAGACUCUUGGUGUUUUUUUGACUUAGAAUUUAGAAACAUUCGAUGUUGUUUCAUUGUAUUAUGGUUCUUAGGUAGGUGGUAGCGACAUUAUGUGCAUACAACAUUCUGUCUUCUUCUGAUCACUAAUUUAAAGUGGCUCUGAUUUUUCUUGCUGAAGGCAACAAUAGAUAGGAGGCUUGUGGAAGCUGCAUCCUCAGAAUUGGAAGAGAAUGAUGCUGUUGAUUCAGAGCAAAAUAUAAAUGCUUUGCAAGUGCAGCUACUUCAUUGGCCUGGUCCAUCAUAUUCGUAAGAUGAAGUGAUUACAUCUGUUGAUUUUAGUAUUUGUGUAAAUAGCAUUCUUUCUAGUGCAGUCAUUUCAUUAGCUCACUUUGUGGUUUUGCUGUUAGGUUUCCCCCGUAUUAUCUGAAGGGAAAAGGACCAUUAUCUCCAAAUAAGGAACCUCUUCACAGUAAGGGAGAUAAAUUAAUGAACUUUGAACCACACAGUGUGGUUGCUCUUGCCAGAAAAGCUUUGUUGGCAUCAAAAGAGGCAGCUUUAUUAGCUGAAGACUCCAAAUUACUUGAUGAUUCUCAUUUUCCAAAGUAUGUUCCUUUGUCCGUCUUGAUAAUAUCCUUGUUUAUUUUCACACCUGCUAGUAGUAUUAGUAUUAUUUUCAGUAUUUUUAUUAUUUUACUAUUUCCGUAUUUCUCAUUCUUAAGUUUUCUAUUGCUACUUGCUGUCUCUUAUGCCUCUAUUUUCUUACUAUCGUGUUUUUGAUACUGCUCAUGUCUUCAUAAAUGUUGUGUUUUUGCAUUCUUUGAGCUGAGGGUCUCUCUACGUGACAAGGUAGGGGUAAGGUCCAUACACUCUACCCUCCCCGGAUCCUGCUUGUGUUUUUGCUUAUGUUUUCAUUUUGACAGUUAUCUUCAAUCUUCAUAACUUAUCUCCUCUCUGAUUGAUUUUCAGUUUCCUAUCCACGCAUUUGGUUGAUGAUAAACUGAAAGAGCAACGUACAGUAAGAUCAACACGUUUUAUAGAGAGGCAGUCUAGAAAAAGGGGAGCUCCAAAGCCAAUACAAGAAGUUCAGGAGACAAAUAAUCGUUCAGGCAGGCCAGAUGUGCGGAGAAAAGUGAACGAAUCUAUUGAUCUAAAUGAUCCUCUUCGAAUGUUCCUAUGGGGUCCCGAAACUAAACAACUCUUAACCGCCAAAGAGGAGUCUGAAUUGAUUGUCAAGAUACAGGUAUUUUGCUCUUCUUGUCUCUGUUCCUGUAGAAAUUGUUUUUUCACAAAGAAAAAAGGAGUUAAAUCAAUGUCCGGUCAUGUUUCAGAUCUCCAUGAAAUUACAAGAAGUAAAGCAUCAGCUUCAGAUUCAGUUUGCUCGUGAACCAACAUCGCUUGAGUGGGCUGAAGCUGCAGGGAUUACUUCUCGAGAAUUGAAAUCACAACUUCUUUCCGGCAAGAGCAGCCGUGAGAAAUUAAUCAAUGCCAAUUUGCGAAUGGUGGUUCAUAUUGCUAAGCAAUAUCAAGGACGUGGUCUCAACCUUCAGGAUCUAUUGCAGGUGAAUGGAUAUUUAUGUACAUAAGAUACUCAUCGUUUGUCCACUAUUCUAAGUCUUAAGAUAUGUUUGUAUAGCUAUGUUAUGUCAAGGGUGUUCUCUAGCCUUCAGGAUUUUGCAUGUUUAUGAACAUAAGAUUUACAUUCUUUGUCCCCAUUUUGAGUUAGAAUCCGGCGUUAGAUAAAAUGAGAGAAGGUUUGUUGAGAUGGUAUGGUCAUGUCCUGCGUCGAUCACUGGAUGCACUAAUCCGUAGAUGUGAAACCAUUGCGAUGAAGGCGUUAAAAGAGGGAGGUAGACCUAAAAUCAAUUGGAGGAAGUUCUCUCAAAGGAUCUACAAUUUCUUCGGAUUCAUGCUCUGACUUAGCAAAAGAUGGGGCAAAAUUGAAGGAAAAUUAUGCAGGAGAUACCUAUUCGUUGAGAAAAAAUGUUUUAAUCGGCUUUUAUUCAUUAUCCUACGUUUUUCUAGGAGUUGUUUAGCCUUUCAGAGGUUUAUCCGCAUAUAUUGUUGUGUUAGAAUCCCGAAGUGUUUGUUUACACAUUUGAUUCUACAAUCAAAGUGUCAGAUAUUUUUUCGCAAGUGUUGUGUGUGUAGGGUGGGGGUGGGGUGGGGUGGGGGCUGUGCAGCUUGCUUAAUCACUUCUAACAUUAAGAAGAUGCAGUUCUAUUAUAUUGAGGUUUACCAGCUGAUGGAUUGGGUGGUUGCAGGAGGGAAGCAUGGGACUUAUGAAAAGUGUCGAGAAGUUCAAACCUCAAGCUGGUUGUCGAUUUCCUACCUAUGCAUACUGGUGGAUAAGGCAAUCAGUUAGGAAGGCCAUAUUUCAACACUCUAGGACAAUCCGUUUGCCCGUAAGGACCUCUUUUUUCCCCAUCAAAAUGGCCUCUUAUUGAAGCAAAUUCUAUAUCUGGAUAUCUAAGUAGCUGAUCUGCACAAACUGGAAUUGCAGGAAAAUGUGUACGCGCUUCUGUCUAAAGUAAAAGACGCCAAAAGAGAAUGCAUUCGACAAGGCAAUCGUCAUCCAACCAAAGAAGACAUCGCAUCAUGUGCUGGAAUGAGUGUGGAAAGGUUGCAGAAUUUGCUUUCAAAUGUUAGAACACCACUUUCAAUGCAACAGUCAGUGUGGUCAGAUCAAGAUACUACUUUCCAGGUGAUGAUUCGUUGCACCACUUCAUGCUUUUUGAGGAACUUACUAAGUAAAUCACAAUCAGGAUGAUUUCUUUUCGUUUGUCCAAGCCUUUUUUUGACUUGCAUGUAAUACUGGUAGUCCAAGGGGAUAUAAAAUCUGGUAGAAAAUAGGUUUAUUGCCAGAGGACUUAAUAAUUAGCAAGUGUUUUCCGUGUUUAUGACUUUUCUUUGCUUUCUGCAACCCUUUCUUAGAAACUCUUCCCUAGAACUACUCCGCGCUUUUGACUAUGUGCUAUUGAAUGUUAUCUUGCUUUCCUGCGAGGUAGGAUAGGUGGGGGUAUUCGGGUACCUACUCUCUUACCAGUAGUAUUAGCACUAUUCUCGUUGUUUAUUGUUUUUCUAUUGUUGUUAUCAUCUGUGAUUUCUAUGCUUCGGUUAUUGCACUAGUUCAUGUUGUUAUUGUUCUUUCUCUGUAGCGCUAUAUUUUUAGUUGCUAUUACUGCAUUUCAUUUCUGCAUUCUCCUUAGUAAUUACUUUGAGAUGCUUUAGCCUUUACUUGAGUAGAGGGUCUAUUGGAAAUAACUUCUCUAUCUCUAGUACACUUUAACUUUUCCCAAACCCCACUCGGAUACUCCGCUUGUCAGAUUACUUCGAUCAUGUUUUGGCGAUUGCUAAAGAGAGGAUAUCAUUUUUCUCAAUCCAGGAAAUUACUGCUGACAAUGCAAUUGAAGCACCAGAACUGAGUGUAUCAAAACAACUUAUGAGGCGUCACAUACGCGGCCUCCUAAAUGUCCUGAGUCCAAAGGAAAGGAAAAUAAUCCGACUUAGAUUUGGCAUUGGAGAUGGCAAACCAAAGUCUCUAUCCGAAAUAGGCGCUGUUUUUGGACUGUCAAAGGAACGAGUACGACAACUAGAGACCCGAGCACUAUACAAGCUAAAGCAGAAUCUUAACAAGCAUGGCCUCGAUGCAUAUUCCGAUUUGCUCUUUUAAAUCACAGUCUCUUCAAUUUACAUAAAACGACUCGAGUUGUUACUGUGGCUGAUGUAGCAGAUGUUACUUUGAAAUCAACAGUAGAUACAAGUUGCUCACAUCCUUGUAAGUAUGGAGCAAACAUUCAAAUUCCAGCGGAGACAAAAACACCAGGUGAUUCUUCCCAUCUAUCUUAGCCUUGAUCGACAAAGUUGCAUGUCAUAUACCUAUUGCUGAUGAGAGGUGAUAGGUAUCCCGUAGAGUCAGUCGAGGUGCGUGAAAGCUGACCUGGACGCCCGGAAAAAAAAUAUGGGAUAAGUGUUUAGCUGUUUUUAGUUUUGCUUUACAAAAUACUUGUGAUGUGAACAUGUUAUUCCUGUUCUUACCUUUUUUAUCUUGUAAAGUAUCAAGUUGUAAAUUAUUUUUUUUCAUCCUGACAUUUAUUUAAAUGGAAUUUUUUUCUCUCGAAAAGUUGAGUGCGCAAACACAUGAAAUAAAGCUAAUUAAUUCAUAUCUAAUUCUGUAAUUAUUAUUCUUAUCCUACGAACGAUUGUACAAUUAGUACUUACAGCAAUCAUUAAUCAUGAAAAAAAGACACAUCAUUUUUCAAAUAAACAAAAAUAAAACUUCUAAAAAAGAGAAGAACCUCAAAAGAGUCAAACAACUAACCCAAUAAUGUUCAUUUUUCAAUAAAUUAAUUAAUGGAAUCAGACAGCUGGUCACACUUUUGUUUACUAACCACAAUAAUAGAUAUUACCAAUCUUAUGAAAAAUGGUUUUAUACAUUUUUUAAGUGUAAAAUUAUUCGCGCUUUGUGUGAAAAUUUGAUAUAUAAAAUUUAUAAAAUAAUUUUUGAAAUUUAUCUGUUAUUAAAGUCUAUAAAAUACUAUAUUAUUUUACAUACAAGAUUACAUACUAACGAAAAUUAAUAAUAAAAAAAAAUGUCAAUUAUAUCAGUUAUCCUUCCAUCAAUCAGUUUUAAUUUGAUUUUACAAUUUUUCCUAUAUUACUAUUUGAUAUUUUUGAAAAAUUAGAUAAACAUCAAUAUGAGAUAUUAAAUUUUUUUAAUAAAUAAAUAAACUUAUUUGUACUAAUAAACACUUAUAACAAUAACUUUAUAAAAGCACAAACUACAAAAUUUAAAAUAUAUACUCAAAAACAACAAUUAAUAUCAUAAGUAUAAAAUAAUAACUAUAUAUAAAAAUAUACCAGGAUCUAUAACAAUAAAAUGAAACAGAAAGAAAAAAAUUGAGUUCAUUGGAUGCACAAUAUUCCUUUUUAAAAAAAUUAUUCUCCACUAGUACCCAAUGUUUAAAGAAAUAGAUCCUCUCGGAAUAGAACGAUUCUAUUUACAAGUGUAUUGAUACAAAAUUAAUAGUGUCAGUGAGCCAUUCAACAGAAGCAAAAUACACAAAUAUUUAAUUGUACAAAAGAAGAAAAAAUUCAGAAUUUUCAUUAUUUUAAAAUGAGAGAAAAUCCCUGUAUUUAUAGAAGGAUAAGGUGAACAAAUAUUUAUUGUGCCUUAUUAGAAAUGUCACAACUCUUUGAAAAAAUUACAAUCUUUCUCUGAAGGCAGGGGCGGAGCCACCUUGAUAUAAGAGGGUUCAUCCAAACCCCAUUUAACGGAAAAUUAUACUAUUUAUACAUAGUUAAAAUAAUAUUUUGUAUGUAUAUAUAUAGUAAACGUGUAACCCCCUUCAGCUAUUUCGUGUGUCUAUUACUACGAAUUUCAAAAUCCCUAUUGAAAAUUCUGACUCCCCCACUGUCCGAAGGUAUAGGCAAAUAAUUGACCCACCCACCCCCCUACUCUUGAAGGUAAGGAAACAUGUAGUUCUAGAAUCAAAGUUCAAACAAUUAAUCAAUCAAAAAAAAAAGAAUGGCAAAAAAGCUUCAUCCUCAUGCCUUGGUAAUUCCAUGUCCAUAUCAAGGUCAUAUAAACCCAACAAUUCAUCUAGCCUUAAAACUUGCUUCAAAAGGAUUCAUUAUAACUUUUAUCAACACACAAUUUAUUCAUUCCCAAAUAACAAAAGCCCAUUCACCUUCCUCGUCAGAGCCGUCGGGGCUCGAAAAUAUCUUCUCAAAACCCUGUGAAUCUGGGCUUGAUAUACGUUAUUUAACUAUUUCCGAUGGAUUUCCGUUGGAAUUCGAUCGGAAUAUGAAUUCGUUGCCAUUUUUGGAAGGUUUAAUAAAUGGGUUUUCGAAUUAUGUUGAUAAACUAGUUGGGGAUUUAGCGAAAGAGGAUUGUGUUGAUCCAAUUAAUUGUUUGAUUGCUGAUACUUUCUUCGUUUGGCCAUCGAUUAUCGCAAAAAAAUAUGAGAUUGUUCAUGUUUCAUUCUUCACUGAGCCAGCUUUGGUUUUUGCUCUCUAUUAUCACUUGGAUUUGCUUGAAGAAAAUGGUCACUCUGGCUCUCAUGGUGAGUUUUUCUUUUUUGCUCUUUUGACUCGAAAGAUUUAUCAGAAACAAUCUCACAUACUAUUAGAUAUAAGAAUAUUGCUUAUUUUUAGCUUAGCAUCAUAAAAUUCAAAAUGUUUAUUUAUAUAUCAAAAAGAAAAAAAAGUCAAAAAUAUAGCUUGAAUUAUCAUAAAUGGUAUAUAGAUAUCUAUAUCAUAUUUUUGAUGCAAUCUAAAAACUAGAACAUACAUAUCUAUACUGGAUCUGGUGAUUGAAACUGAUACUCCUUCGUUCAAGUGGAAAGGCAUAGUUUUUGUCAAGAAUGAGCAACUUUAAAUAUAUAUCUUUUAGAUGUAAAAUUUGAUAUAUAUAUAUAUACAGAACGUAAUUUUUCUGACGAAGGGUGUCCACCUUGCAUCACUGUAUAUUCUUUAUAUUAACAGACAUACACGAGUUAUAAUUUAUCCAUCAAGUUGAUAUUUAUAAAAUAUCGGAUCAACAGAUAAGAUUGUGCUAGGUGUCUCUAUGAUGUCCCUAUAUAUUUAGUGUUUCGCUAGAGUGAGUGACAUAUAUACUUUAGUUUUUGAACGGCAGCGCCAUUAAUGUCUCAAAAAUAUGACAGAGAUAUCUGCGUAUCAUUUAUUAAAAAAAAGGAUUUUUUUUUUUUUUUUGUAUCUUCGUCUUCUUACAUAAUCUGUUAUACUGAUUAGAAAAGAAUGGUAGUCUCUUCUAUUUAUUUGUGACAUAUGAUCUCCAUAUUUUUAAUUAGCAACUUCCAUGAAUUAGUAAAAUUAAAUACUUUUGUAUGUACAGUGUCACUGAGUGAUGCCAUCUCACUAAUCUUGUUGUUAGAAUAUAGAAAUAUAUUAAACUGAUAAUUUUCUUAAAAUCAUUUUUUAACAGAAAAUAGGAAAGAUAUUGUUGAUUAUAUUCCUGGAGUUAAAUCAAUCAAAUCAAGUGACUUGCCAUCCUUGUACCAAAAUUCGGUGGUGCACCAAUUAAUCUACAAGGCAUUUCAAGAUGUUCGAAAAGCCGAUAUAAUAAUAGCCAACACUGUUCAGGAGCUCGAACCUGAAACCAUCACAUCGAUUCAAGAAAAGCACAAGUUCUACGCCAUUGGUCCAAUUGUGUCCGCGAAUUUCACUGAACUAACUAUUUCGAGUAGCCUAUGGUCCGAGCACGAUUGCACCCAAUGGCUCGAUGCCAAGCCUCGUGGUUCGGUCUUAUACGUCUCGUUUGGGAGUGUGGCUCUUGUUAACAAAGAGGAUAUUCUUGAAUUAGCUCAUGGACUUAUGCUUAGUGAAGUGAAUUUCAUUUGGGUACUUAGGUUUAAUGUUUUAGGUCAAGACGAAAAUGAUAUUUUGCCCGUUGGAUAUAAAGAAAAAGUGAAGGAUCGAGGGUUGAUCGUGCCAUGGUGCAACCAACCGAGGGUGAUUUCACAUUCAGCAGUUGGAGGUUUCUUGAGUCACUGUGGAUGGAAUUCUGUAGUGGAGAGCAUUUGGUGUGGGGUGCCGUUGAUUUGUUCUCCGCUUGUCACCGAUCAACUCGCUAAUCGGAAAUUAGUGGUUUAUGAUUGGAAAGUUGGAAUUAAUCUUCGUGACGAGGAAUCAAUCACGAGAGAAGAAGUACGCAGUAAGAUUAAAUAUUUGAUGAACGAAGAGACUUCGAAUAAUUUAAGGAAGAAUGUUGCACAAGUGAAAGAGACAUUUCAUAAUACAUUAGCUACGAAUGGAUCAUCAAAUGUUUAUUUUAAUAAGUUUGUUGAAGAGUUGAAGAUAAAGAUUAGUUUAGCUUGAGAUGAUCUAAUCUUAAACCACUGUAUUCACGUGAAUUCAAUAAAUUUUAUUUAAGUAGUGUAAUUGGAUUUAUAGUCAACUACUACGAAUUAGUAUAUUAGUAGAUUCUUUUCUUAAUCAAUUUUGAAAUAGUUUUUCAAACUUCUUUCAAAACAUAGAAUUUUCUGAACAUAAAUAAUGAUAUCUAUAGAGAUAAAUCUUCUAUUAAAUGAGAAUAUAAUCAUGUUAUAUAUAUAUAUAUAUAUAUAUAUUUCAAAAUCAAUUAUUAUGAGUUCAAUCGAAUCAACAAAACCAUUCUAAAUCUGCUUCAAUAAUCAUGGAAUAUGCCCAAUGGAGAUGAUCAUAUAUAAAAGAAUAUUCUGCCACAGAGGCAGCUGGUCCAUGUUGUCUUUGGAACUUAAAAGUAAACAAUUCGUUCGGUCUCAAUUUAUAUGAUUUUUUUUUAAUUUUUUUAAAAUAAUGUAUAAUGUUGUGUUUGUACAUUGUAUAGUUGAAAUAACUUAGCUUUAAUUUUUUUUUAAUCAUAAAUGAAAUAUUAUAUAACCAGACAAAUAUCAAAAAACUAUUUAGAGAUGAGCAUUGUUUUACACUCUUUUUCGAGAUAAAACUUCUUAUACACCUUAACUCAACAAAUUUUAUGAGUAGUCGAACAAAUGAGAGGUUGUUGAUGAAGGUUUUGAAUAAGAUCCCUUUGACCUCGUUCGUUUAGUAGUUUGUUUGUACUAUCAUUCACCUAUAUAUCUGAUCUGCUUUUUGACUGACUUAUUUUGUCCUAACCUAGCUGUCGUUACAUCUUUCUAACUUCAUCUAAAUUGUCUUUCAACACCUCAUAAUAAUCAUCUCUAUGAUAAACAUAAUAACGAGUAAAUUUAAACCACAAACUAAAUACUGUAUCAAAUCAAACGAUAUCAAUACAUAAAGAAUAUUAAAUAUGAUCUAUAAACAAGAGACGUGGUUGGUCUUAUAAUAUGCAAGUUGGAAACAUAUCAUAAAAAAAAAAAGUAACCCAUACUCCUACUAUCAUUGUCACACAGUCCAAGUCUCAACAUUACUGAUACUCUGAUGAAGCCCAUAGGGAAAGGUUAAACAAAAAAAAAAAAAGAUUUUUUUAGGAAAAGAAAAUAAGAAAAAAAAAAUUCAUCCUUUAACUUGUUACUAUUUUUUAUUACUUAUUAAUAUUUUCCUCGUAAAUAUUCAUAAGCUCGUCAAUGAUCAGAAGCGCUUAAAAAUAUUAUUUUGAUCAAGUAAAAAUGUAUGAAUAAACCCCUAAAAAAUAAAAGAAUCGAGAUGAUAUAUCAAAAUAAAAUACAAAAAUCUCUAGAUCAUUUUGUCUAAUUAUUUUUUUAAAGUUUCCUAUUUAUUUUAAUUUUAAUAUCAUAAUGUAGAACAUAUGUCAUAUGGUCCACUUCCUCUAAGCCACCAAUUUCAUCCUUUUUUAGGUCAAACUUCAAAAAAAAAAUGAUUUCAUUACUUUUCAUUAAUGCUUUACAUAUGCAUAUUCUAAAGUAUUGCUUUAUAAUGUAUUUUAUUAUUUAUAAUAUUAUGUUAUUUUAAUGAUAAAAUGCAACAACUUUAUUAUUAACACACACUGAAUCUAAAGUGCAACAACCUGUAAUUUGCUUGUAGAAUUUCAAAUAAAUUUAAAUUCUAUCAUGGGAAACCUAUUUGUAUAUGUGUUUCCCUUAAAUGGUCUAUAUAUGAAUUAUUUGUGUUGUGUUAUAUAUAUAUAUAUAUAUAUAUAAUAUAUUCUCUCAGUUUCGCUAAUUUAUGUGAUAUUCAAAACUUUCUCUUUUCAAAACUACUUGAUUAUCAUAUCAAUCUUCAGUUCUUUACUUCUACAUCGGCCACUUGAGCUAUAUUACUGGACUUGAACACUAUAUACUCUACUCUAUUUUAUUUCCAUUCAACCUGAUCCUUUAAACACCACGAUCCAUAUAUUUUCUUUAUAUUAAAUAAUUUUUUAUUUUAAAUUCAAAAAUCUCAUUUUAAACAAGAAUAAUAAUUACAAUAUAAAAAAAAAAGAUAUCAUCACAUUUAAAAUAUGAGGAAAAAUCAUCAAUAAUUCUUGAUGAAAAGUUAAAAAAGAUGACAUUUGAAUAGUCAAUAUCUAUUGACUUAAAAACUAUAUUAUAUAUGGUCUAUUUAUCCCUUCCCUAUAUUAAAAUAAAUUAUUCUAAGUUUAAUUACUCAAAUUAUAAUUUUACAAAUAUUAAUUCCCUUUCCUUGUAAUUUCCCAUUUUCCCAUCCUUUAAUUCAUUUCCCCUCCUUUUCCCUUCAUUUAUGGAACACAAAUAAAUACCCACAAAUUCAUCUUCUCCAAAUACCUUUUUCAUUGAAAAAAAUUAAAAAAAUCCCCAAAAAAAAAAAAAAAAUUAAAAAAAAUUCAUCAUCUUAAUCAUCAUCAACAAUGGCGAAUCAUCACCAAAAACCUCAUGCUAUUAUGAUUCCAUAUCCAUAUCAAGGUCACAUUACUCCUUUUGUGUAUUUAGCUAUAAAAUUAGCUUCACAUGGCUUCACAAUCACUUUUGUAAACACUCAUUAUAUACAUUCUAAGAUUUCCAAUUCACAAUCUAGAGAAAAUUCUCAAAUAAAAAACAAAGAUGAUUUGUUUGCUAGAGCUCGUGAAUCUGGGCUUGAUAUUCGUUAUGCAACGGUGAAUGAUGGGUUUCCUUUAGGGUUUGAUAGGUCAUUGAAUCAUGACCAAUUUGUUGAGGGUUUGUUGCACGUUUUUUCAGCGCAUUUUGAUGAAUUGGUUGGGGAUUUGGUGAAAUCCGAUCCGCCGGUGACGUGUUUGAUCGCUGAUACGUUUUAUGUAUGGCCGGCGAUGAUCGCCGAGAAGUAUAAUUUGGUUUAUGUUUCGUUUUGGACGGAACCUGCUCUGGUUUUUAAUCUGUAUUAUCAUAUGGAAUUGCUCAAAAAAAAUGGACAUUUUGCUUCUCAAGGUUCGUGUUCCCCUUCUCAGUUAUCUUCGUUUUAUCUUUAGGUCACGAAUUCGAGCUAAAAAAGAAUUACAUUUAUUAAUAUUUGCAUUAUUAUGUUAAGUUGUCUAUGUCACAUCACUUCGUUUCAGCUUUUACCUUACCUGUGUGAACGUGAAAUGCUUUUAUGAUUAUAGAAGUUGAUUUUGUCUCAAUUUUUGUGACACGACUACUUUCGUCUCGAUAAUGAAAUGAUAAUUUACUUGGAUAUAGUAUAGCUCUUGGCGAUCCAUACUACUUUUUAGGAAAAAGUGCCACUUGAUAUGGAAUCGAUUAUAAUAUAAAUGUAUGUAUUUAAAAAUAUAUAUGUAACUGACUCCCCGUAGAAUAAAUAUCAAUCGGAAAGUGAAGUCUCAAAGACAACUAAUAGUCUUUGUUUAAAAAAUAUAAUGUAUUAUCAUAUUUUCGGUUAGCUUACAUCUCGACUAAUUCUAUAGGAUAUAUAUUGCUUCUUUAGCAACAAAUAUUUUAAACUCUGUUCAUAAGCUUGACAUAUAGGAAAAAUGUAUAAUAUUUUUACCCUCAUUGAAAUUUGAAUCUAGAACCUUAUGAUUCUCGACUCACUUUAUUGAUCAACAAAGACACAACCAACACUUGUAAAUUGGAUUGUGACCAUGUACCAACAUAAUUGGUGUAAAAUGUUGGUUAGGCCAGUGGGUCUCUCCUUCCUUCUUUUUGUUUUUGUCCUGUUUUAGGUUGUGGGAUCCAAUGAAAGUUGGUGGUAAUAAUGGUGGUUAGUUGAGAUACCACUUCACUACUAAUAACUACUAUUUGAUUUUCAGAACAAACAACUAAUUUUCUAAAAAUAGUUUAUAUCUUAAUUAAAACAAAACAUGUUUUUGUUUUUUUAAUUUUGAAAACAUUUAUGGUUGAUGGUUAAGAGAUGCCUACAAAAAAAAAGUUUUUGUAUGUAACAAGAGUUUUCACAUUAUCAGAGAGGGAUUAGUCAAAUUGGUCUAGUGGUGUCUUUAAUUUGAUCUUUUGUCUGUUAUUGCAUGUGGACAUUAUAAUAAAAUAGGUGUUCACACUUGGAGAUAUAUCUUAAGAAUUAAAAAUUAGGAUGUUUUUACACUGCACAACAGCUCUACAAAAUAAUCAUAAUUACAAUCUUUUUAUAAGUUUUAACCAGUAUACAGUAUGUAACUAAUGUAUAAUAUGUGUUUUAUAUUGAUUAAGGUCGAAGGUUAGUAGAUAGUUGUAUGUUGUGUAACUUCUUCUUUCAUAUAAGUAAUAGUAGUAUUUACUAUCGUAGGCUCUUGUGUGGUGGAAUUACACAGAAUAUGUAAUUGUUAUAUUUCAUGUUUUUCUUAUCUUUUUGCUAUGGCUUCUGCAAUUCCGAUUUCUUUUUCCUGAGUCGAGGGUCUAUCGAAAAAGAAAAAACUUAGCCUGUGCAUAUUUGGUGGACUAAAGAUAUUCAUUUUACUAUUUGAAUAGCUGCCUUCUUUGACCUCCUAACAAGGCCUUGACCCCCACUUGGUUGUCACAUCUGUAUCAUAUUAGAAAAAAAGGUUUAUUAAUAAGUUUGUACAUGUAAUAUUUUAAAAACUGGACUACAGGGUUGGAGCAUAAAUUUUUAAUUGAAAUUUUUAUAAAGGUAGCUAUGCUAAUCAGUGUUAUAUUGAGAAUCUAGCAUUGAUUCCUUUACUAACUAAUUAUUGGUCCUGAGUGGGAUUGGUGAGUCUACUUGAAAUUAUUUUAUGUUAGUGAUGUGACUUUUCAGCUUCUGAGUAGGCCUCUUUGUCUCAAUAUGUGCUACAAGUACCUCAACAGACAACAACCCAUUAUAUGUAAAAAAUUGUUGUGGGGUCUAAAACUAUGGUAAUGACUAAUGAAUCCUAUCAUACUCAUUGCGCUGUGCUUGUAUGAACUAGUCUUCCAAAUGCCAAUGUUAAGAUGAGACUUGCCCUUCUUUAGUGGUUCUCGUGCCAUCACAAUGGCAUGACGUUGAAAGAGCAAUUGGAACAUGUUCCUGGUCAGCUCGUUAGUUUUGCAUCUUGAUGCUGGUAGGCUCCUUCCUCUUAAACAUAUAGUAAGAUUAUUGUGAGUCUAACUAGUCCUAUCACAUUCCUAGUGUCGUACUUGGAUGCACUAGUCUUUCACAUGUCUGUGAUGAGAUGAAAGUUGUCCCUGUUUGAUAGUUCUCGUGUCACCACAAUGGCAUCACAUUUAACGAAUGACAAGAACCUGCCACUCAUCCGGUUGUUGGUAGGCACAUUGUGGCAUCAAAAGCAAGUCUUUUUCUUGUGCUGCUGUCUGUGAAAUCUGUUCUUUCUUUCUAAACAUUACGUCUUAAUCAGUAGAUAAUUUGAUUAAAUUAUAUUCUUAUUUUUCAGAUAACCGAAAGGACACUAUAGACUACAUACCAGGAGUUAAAGCUAUUGAACCAAGAGACUUGAUGUCUUAUCUCCAAGCAACUGAGAUUUGGACUGUGGUUCAUAGGGUAAUCUACAAGGCCUUUACAGAUAUUAAAAAGGCUGAUAUCAUCAUUUGUAACACAGUCCAAGAACUUGAAUUUGAUACUCUCUCAGCCCUAAACAAAAACCAGCCCACAUAUGCUAUUGGUCCCAUUUUCCCAUCUGGUAAUUUCACUAAGGCCCCAUUCAGUAUUAGCCUAUGGUCUGAGUCUGAUUGCUCUCAAUGGCUCAACAACAAGCCCAAUUCCUCAGUCUUGUAUGUCUCAUUUGGGAGCUAUGCUCACACUAGUAAAGAAGACUUAUUGGAGAUAGCCCAUGGGCUUCAACUUAGUGGGGUGAACUUCAUUUGGGUCCUAAGGCCUGAUAUCGUUAGCUCGGAUGAGACAGAUUUCCUGCCUGUGGGGUUCGAGGAAAGUAUAAAAGAUCGAGGGUUGAUCGUGCCAUGGUGUAGACAGAUUGAAGUGAUAUCACACCCUGCGACUGGUGGAUUCCUGACUCACUGUGGAUGGAACUCGACGUUGGAAAGCAUAUGGUGUGGUAUACCAUUGAUUUGUUUUCCCUUGCUGACUGAUCAAUUCACUAACCGAAAACUAGUUGUAAAUGAUUGGAAGAUCGGAAUUAACCUUUGUGACAAAGAACGCGUUACACACGAGGAAGUAUCCGAAAAGGUUAGCCAUUUUAUGUGUGGGAGUAGUGCUCAAGAGUUGAGGAAAGCAGUGAAGGAAGUGAGGAAGACAUUAGAGAAUGCAUUAGGACAAGAUGGAUCAUCUGAGAGGAAUUUUCAUCAAUUUAUGGAAAACAUUAAAGUCAAUGCAAGGAAACGGGCCAGGCUUUCGAAUGGGCAUGUUAGUCCAUUACACCAAAAUGGUAAUGGGCUGGUCCAUUGAAACCUUUGAAAUCUAGUGAUAAUUGUAAGCAUAUAGGCUAAAAAGGCCUAAUGUUGUAGAAAUAGCACUACUAGCCACUUCUCAACCUUGUUUUUAGAAAGUUAAGUCAUUGUUACAGAGUUUCAAAUUCGACAAGCGAAACUUCAAGAUAUUAUCCUGACGUUUUCCUUGUACAUUUUGGAACUCUAGGCUAUUGGCUAUUUCUUAGUUACAAAGAUUGAAAAGUUGGCUAUUUUUGAAUUUUAGUUUGGCCUAUGUUAGGUAUGGUUGGUAUGGUUCUUCUCUCUUUUGGCAAUGUUGUGUUUUUAUCUUUGAAUUUAAUUUUUGCUUUAGAUAAAUCAAGCCCUUGAAUGUAAAAAUUGUUUGUUCAAAAUAAAUACUGUAGUUUAGUUUAUUUUGAAAUUUUGAGAUGAAAGUGUUAUGAAAGUAUUAUUAUUCAGGUGUGCAUAAGGCCGUAAGCUGAUUUUGAACACCAUCAUCACUACUCCUCAAUCUCAAACAAGUCAGAAUUAAUAACGUGUUCUCGCUUCUUCAUUUAAGUUCAAUUUAUAUCACAAAUAUUAAAAAUAAAAAAUUAAAAAAUUCUGAUGGUUAGUAAAGAGUUGCAGGUAGUUGUGGAUUUCAUAAUUUGAUGAUUCCAAGAAAGAUAUAAUACUAUUUUGAAAUAUCUACCAAUGCAAUACAAGCAAAGGUGCCUUAAAUUCUUAACUUAGGUUCCAAAACAAUAAAUAAUUGACAAAUAAUUUUAAAAUAUAAAGUUAGGAAAGAUAAUUUAUUGAAAUUUUUUUUUACUUAUAAAAAUAGAAAUACAAUUUGCGUACAAUUUAUCCUCGCAAAUUUUAUUUCCAUAUUAUAUUCUAUGGUAUUUAUUAGUCAACCUCUAUAAAGGAAAACACACAUUUAUCACUUUAUUAUGGUUAAAUUCUCACUUGAAUUUCUACUUUGCUAUGAUUAAUUUAAAAUUAAUAACUGGAAAUUUAGGUCUAGAAUUGGUUGGAAUGUUCUAGAAUUUCUAAUUUUUAAAGAGGUUUUGAAUUAGCUAAAUUAAUUCAGAUAGUAUAGAUUAAUGGAGGAGAGUCACUUUUUCUUUAAAAAUCAAAACUAAGAAUUGUUUAUCUCAUUAAAAGCCAAAAAUAAAUCAAUUUGGUGUCUAAUUAGGAGAUUAUUAAGUAAGUUUUUAGAAAACUGAGUUUUGAUAUAAAAGCUUUGACGUUUUUAUUAGUUAAUUAUUUUUAAACAUAAAAAGUUUUUACACAAAUAAUUUCUAAAUUUUACAAAAAUAAUUACCAUCGCUAGUUACAUAUCGAACUAACUCAACUUACUAUCGUUAUAUAAUUUAAAUAUUUUUUAUAGUAAAUUAUAUACCUUGAUUGAUUGUAGUUAACUUAUUUAAGUAUAUAUACUAACAUUCAUUAAACAUCUAUUUGCUUCCCUCCCAAUCGCACAACGAUAGAUCUCAAAUAUUUUAUCGUUGAAAUUAAAUUACUAACAACUUCUUUAUAACGAACAAAUAAGGAAAUGCCACGAUAGCAAAAUGUUGACAUGGAAACGUAUUAAAAGAAUUCCAAAUAUAACUAAAACAAGGAAACAUAAUUCUUUAAAAAAAUUAAUAUCAACAUCAAUUAUAGUUUUUUGGUGUAUAAAAGGGGGGAAAAUAAUUUUAAAAAAAAAAGAAAAAUAAAUGUUUUUUCUUUAAAAAAAAGUAUUUUUUUUUUCCUAACAAGAAACGAACUACUAAUAAGCUUUUAUAAAUAGCCCUUUACAUGGCCAAAACCAAAAAUAACUCUGCAAAAAAAAAAAAAUCAUGAGUAACAAAGCUGAAUCAUCUGAUUCGUAAGUACCCAUUGUGAUUCUUUUGUGGAAAAAAUUGUUGGUGUAGUUGGAUUUUGAUUCUUGAUUAUAAAAAAAAGUUUGAAUUUUUAUGGUUUUGUUUUGUGAUGUUUGUAGGAAGGGGACUAAGAAGGAUUUUAGUACAGCAAUUUUGGAGAGGAAGAAAUCACCUAAUCGUCUUGUCAUUGAUGAAGCAAUCAAUGAUGAUAAUUCUGUUGUUUCACUUCAUCCUGAUACUAUGCAAAAGCUCCAGUUUUUUCGUGGUGACACAAUUUUGAUAAAGGUUGGAUUUUUACUCAUGUUUUCUUGAAAUUUCAUGUGUUCAGUUUGGAGUUUUGGUAGAUUAUUAUGGUGGGGUGGUGGUUAAAAUUCACCUAUGGGGCAAGGGUUGUAAUGGGGUUGCGAAUACUGAUCAGUGUUUAGCAGAGGGGUUUAUGGUAUUUGAAGUUAUGGGUAAGUUUGGUGCCCCGUGUGCUUUACUUGAGCAAGGGAUCUUCUGAAAACAACCUCUCUAUCUAGUGGUGAGGCAGAGGUAAGGUCUGUGUACACCUAUUGGAUUACACUAAGUUUGAUGCCCUUGCUUCUUGUUUGCUGGAAAUCAGUUGUGCAGGUGAAAUAAGCAUAAGGACAAUGAGUUUUGUGAUAUAUAAGCUAAAAAGGCCGGGGCUUGGCCAUUCGUCCUAAAGUUCUUAGCUUUGUAUUGUUCUGUGUCAAUUUGUCUAGCUCGAAUAUGUUGAAGUGGUAGUAUUGUUCUGUGUCAAUUUGUCUAGCUCGAAUAUGUUGUAGUGCCUUAUGAAACCAUGAAGAAUGGUGAUUAGUGUUUGGUUCCGUUUGAUGGUCUAUUUUAGUAGUAACUUUUUCAUGUAUUCUGUUUUUAGUUUGAAAAUAAUGAGUAGAUGUAGUUUAUCAAAAAAAUAAAAAUAAUGAGUAGGGUGUAGAUAGUUCUAAUGAUUGUACCUUGUUUGGGAAAUGCUGGUGCAAGCUUUGAGGAAUUGGUAUUAGCUGUAGCUUCUUCACAUUAUGGUGAUGUAAGAAUUGUGAUGAAAUACUGGCGUAUACACACACACAAACACACAUAUAUGUGUAUAAUAUUAUAUAUAAGAUUUUGAGUUCUGAACUAUGUAUUUUGUCGUAUAGGGAAAGAAAAGAAAAGAUACUAUCUGCAUUGCCAUUGUUGAUGACAAGUGUGAUGAGUCAAAGAUUAGGAUGAACAAGGUUGUCAGAAAUAACCUUAGUGUUCGUCUUGGUGAUGUUGUCUCUGUUCAUCAAUGCCCUGAUGUCAAAUAUGGUAAACGUGUGCACAUUCUUCCAAUUGAUGACAGCAUUGAGGGGGUUACAGGAAAUCUGUUUGAUGCUUACUUGAAACGUAAGUGUUCUACUAUCAAUUUGAUUAUUGCUUGUUAGAAUUUUUGGAUACGUGAUGUUAUUUAUUUUUCUUCUGUUAAGUGUUUUCAAUUUACUUAGCUGAUGGUAUUCUUCUGAUAAGCAUUAUAUCUGCGAAUGCUUUGUGCCAAUAUCCUGCUUUUGGAACUUUAUGUUGUUUGUUAAGUUUCAUUGUCUAACUUAAACUCUGGUGUGACUUGUGUUGUUGCAAGUUUGCAUCAAGUGGAUUCACAAGGUUUCCUCUUGCCCUAUGGGGUUUAUCGUUAUAAUAUUUUCUGAAUGAGUCUAUCAAAUUCUUGGUCAUUGUUUACGUUUAAAAAAAUAUUCCUAGUCAUCGUUAAAGUUAUUGGUUUAAAAUCUUCAAACAGCUAUGUCUUUUGUAGUGAAGUGAGAGCUUUGGAUAACCAUUGUCAUUCUUAUUGACAAAGAGAUGACGUAUUCGAACCUAAUUAUUCUGCAAUUACUGAUCCUUCUUGUCUCCCUGUGUUAUUUCUCUGCAGCCUAUUUCGUUGAAGCAUAUCGACCAGUGAGGAAGGGUGAUCUAUUUCUUGUAAGAGGAGGAAUGAGAAGUGUAGAAUUCAAGGUUAUUGAAACUGAUCCAGCUGAAUAUUGUGUUGUCGCCCCAGAUACUGAGAUAUUCUGUGAGGGUGAACCUGUAAACAGAGAAGAUGAGAAUCGGUUAGAUGAGGUUGGUUAUGAUGACAUUGGUGGCGUGCGUAAACAAAUGGCUCAGAUCCGCGAGCUUGUUGAGCUUCCGUUGAGGCAUCCACAAAUGUUCAAAUCUAUUGGUGUGAAACCUCCCAAAGGAAUUCUCUUGUAUGGACCUCCUGGAUCAGGGAAGACAUUGAUAGCGCGAGCAGUUGCUAAUGAGACUGGUGCGUUCUUCUUUUGUAUUAAUGGACCAGAGAUCAUGUCCAAAUUGGCAGGAGAAAGUGAAAGCAAUCUCAGGAAAGCAUUUGAGGAAGCUGAGAAGAAUGCACCUUCAAUUAUUUUUAUUGAUGAAAUUGAUUCAAUAGCUCCUAAACGUGAGAAGACUCAUGGAGAGGUCGAGAGGAGGAUUGUUUCUCAGCUCUUGACUCUCAUGGAUGGUCUCAGAUCACGUGCCCACGUAAUUGUCAUGGGUGCCACUAAUCGCCCUAAUAGUAUUGACCCCGCCCUAAGAAGGUUUGGCAGAUUCGAUAGGGAGAUAGAUAUUGGUGUCCCGGAUGAAGUCGGGCGUCUUGAGGUGCUUCGUAUCCAUACAAAGAACAUGAAGCUCGCUGAAGAUGUAAUUCCAUAUCCUCAAACUUUUUAGUAUUCUGACUUCUAAACGAUUACAGUUUGGUAAUAUGCUGAUCUUUGUUUGCAGGUUGAUUUGGAAAGGAUUUGCAAAGAAACACAUGGUUAUGUUGGUGCGGAUUUGGCAGCUUUGUGUACUGAGGCUGCACUUCAGUGCAUCAGAGAGAAGAUGGAUGUGAUUGAUUUGGAAGAUGAAUCUAUCGACGCAGAGAUAUUAAAUUCAAUGGCUGUGACCAACGAGCACUUCUCAACUGCUCUUGGGACAAGCAAUCCAUCUGCCCUGCGUGAAACUGUAAGUCUACAUUUCUUUUCGUUCAAGGCUUCUCCUACUACAUAUCCUCCACUCGUUUCCUAAUUAUGACGUAUGGCGGAACAGGUUGUUGAAGUUCCUAAUAUCUCCUGGGAGGACAUUGGAGGCCUUGAGAAUGUCAAGCGUGAGCUUCAAGAGGUACAUAUAUACUAAACAUAAAAUGAUGAAUAUUAUGAUCUGCUAACCUGUUAACCUUGUUGAUUUACCUGACCUAAUCUUUUAUUUGUUUUGUAGACUGUUCAAUAUCCUGUGGAACAUCCCGAGAAGUUCGAGAAGUUUGGUAUGUCUCCUUCUAAGGGUGUUCUCUUCUAUGGGCCACCUGGAUGCGGGAAAACUUUGUUGGCGAAGGCUAUUGCAAACGAAUGCCAGGCCAAUUUUAUUAGUAUCAAGGGUCCAGAAUUGCUUACCAUGUGGUUUGGAGAGAGCGAAGCCAAUGUUAGAGAAAUAUUCGAUAAGGCUCGAGGGUCUGCUCCUUGUGUCCUGUUUUUUGAUGAAUUGGACUCGAUUGCUACUCAGGUGCUGCUCCUCAUUCUCAUGUUCCCGUUGAACUGUUUACUACAAGGUUUUACCGGGGUUUUUUUUCAGAUUAUUUGCUUCUAUCGCUAAAUAUGACACUCUUUUGCAGAGAGGCAGUAGCAGAGGAGAUGCCGGGGGAGCUGCUGAUAGAGUUUUGAAUCAACUCCUCACUGAAAUGGAUGGUAUGAAUGCCAAGAAAACGGUUUUCAUCAUCGGUGCCACCAACAGGCCUGACAUUAUUGAUCCUGCACUUCUACGUCCCGGUCGUCUUGACCAAUUGAUUUACAUUCCUCUUCCUGACGAGGAUUCCCGCUAUCAAAUUUUCAAGGCAUGCCUGCGGAAAUCACCCCUUUCUAAGGAUAUCGAUCUCAGAGCUCUUGCAAAAUAUACGCAAGGGUUCAGCGGAGCUGACAUUACAGAGAUCUGUCAACGUGCAUGCAAAUACGCUAUCCGAGAGAACAUUGAGAAAGUAAGUUUUCUAUCUCCAAUUCUCCAUGUCUUGUCAGUUGAUAAUAUUUGAGGCAAUAGAUAUUAGUUUCUACACUGAUAGACUAGGGAUGUAGUCAAGACUUGAAGUUUAUGAAUUCGGGAUUUAAUUUAUACAUACUAAAUGAAUUUUAUCAGACAAGAUACAAAUUACUAAGUUCUGUCGAACCUGCUUCCUAUACUCUAGCUCCGCCCCUUCCUAAAGUAGAAAACUAAUGUUUGCAGGAUAUUGAGAGGGAGAGAAGGAGAAGGGAUAAUCCGGAAGCUAUGGAGGAAGACGUUAACGAUGAAGUAUCUGAGAUCAAGCCUGCUCACUUUGAGGAAUCAAUGAAGUACGCUCGAAGGAGUGUGAGUGAUGGUGAUAUCCGCAAGUAUCAAGCGUUUGCUCAGACGUUGCAGCAGUCCCGAGGGUUUGGUUCUGAGUUCCGGUUUGCAGGUCCCACCAUCGGUCCCACCACCGGAACUACUGAUCCCUUUGCAACUUCUGCUGGUGGUGCAGCAGAUGAAGAUGAGCUGUAUAACUAGACUGUCUUCAGCUUAUUUUUCAUAUCUUAUGCUUUACCACUUACAACUUUGCUAAUAUAAGUAAUUAUUUUUAUGAAACUUUGAAAGUUAGUAACUAUUUCCAUUCAUUGUCUUGAGUUUGUAAUUUUAUUGAUUUUUCUAAGCUUUACAUAAAUAAUACUCUGUAGCUAUUAUUUUGUCUACUUAAAAAGUUUUAGAUUUUAUUUGGCUAAAUGUUCAAAGGUACAGAAAUUAUAUUUUUGCAUGUAAUUAUUUUUGUUUAACUCGUUUUCCAACAAAGAUGAUUAUUUAUCCAAUAAGAAUUGAAUUUGAGAUGUCAGAUUAAAUACGAAGAAAUAUCUAUUAUCGUCAUCAUAAAUUUUGUGAAAUGUUACAUAAGACCCUUGAGGUGAAAUAUUAUAUAUUAUUUAUAAUAUUUUAUUUUAUGAUGAUCUAAAUUAUUAUUUUUACGGUUUACAUAUACAUGCGAUACACAAUAAAUACUUACUGACACAAUGCUCUUACAAAAAUUAUAUAUACAAAUACAUUUUAUAUAUCUGUUGGACGUAAAAACUCGAUACGAGUAUAUUUCCACUUAAUUAUUUAUAGGUAAAUUGAUGUCCAAAAGGGGUACCAUAUAGGUGUACUAAGGUGAUUAUAGGCCACUCUUUUAGAAGCAAAAUUCUUACUUUCUUUCUUUUUAUUGAGGGAACAAUGACAUGAUGGAUCUUAACAACAAAUGCUAAAUAUCAUUGUCAAACUCAAAUUAUUAUUUCACUAUUUUUACAAUUUACUACUACUUAUAUUCAAUAGUUAUAUAUAAAUAGAUCUUCGAUCAAAUUUGUUUUUAUCAAUCUUCUAGAUCUUGUUUAAUUUCUUGUUCUGUAAAUCGGUGAUUGAGUUAAUCAAAUUUCGAACGCUUUAAGAGCCCAAUCAGGGGGGAAUGCAUGGGAUUAUCUUGGUUGAUCGAUCAUUUUGUUUUUAAUUACAAGGAUUUACAUGAAUUUAAUAGCUUAAUAUAGCAUAAUAAUUUAUGAUAAACCUAAUAUUUACAGCAUUUCUAUGUAUUUGAAUAAACUCUUUUAUUGUUGUACUAUAUAUAUAAUAUGAUAUGAUCAAAGCAAUAUAUUAAUGUGGUAUCUUUGAAUUAUUACAAGACCUAAUUAUUAAAUAUGUUUUGACCCUAAGAAAGAACAUGGAUGUCUCAUUUAAAUGUGUAAUAAAAAAAAUUAAAAAAAAUAACAAAAAUUAGCUAUAAAAUUUAUCGUUAAUUAGAUUCACUGACCCAAUUUCCCAAUUUAAUUCGAUAGGAUCCCUUCAUUUACAUUUACUUCCAUCAAAAAUGUUUUUUUUAAUCUUUUUGACCUCUGAAUUUUAAAUUAUCGUACUUUCACACAAUUCACAAGUCGCCAAGUAGCCCGUAGCUACUAGGAUUUUCAAAUAAUUCAUUGAUAAUUUUCCGUGAAAUAGGCUCAACGAUAGGUUUUUGUAGUUUAGAAACAAAAAUUAUCCGUUUUGGCCUCCAGAUUUUAGAGUAAUGUCCUACUUUCGCGCGAUUCAUUUCCUACCAAAUAACCCAUAACUAUAAGGAUUUUCAACAAAUUCAUAUGAAAUAAGAUCAUCGAUAGAUCUUUAUUAUUUAAAGACAGAAGUUAUCCAUCGCUAAUUUUUGUUAUUAUAUUGAGUGAAAAAAAAAAAACACAACAAGAACAUAGAGCAAGCAAGUCCACAUGAAUAUGCUAGAGAUUAUUAUACAUGUCCUAGUCCAAUGAAACUCUUAGCCCUUUUUCUAUUCAUAUAUUGACCUAUUUUUUCUGACUACCUCUCAUGGGAUUUUCUCCUACUUUUAUAAUAUAUAUAUAUAAUGGUGUCAAAUCUAAUCAAAAAACUUUAUCAUUUUUUUCUUGUGGAAAAAAGAGAAAUUAAUGUUGUACUAUAUUAUGUAGCUAUAGCUAGCACCAACCAUGUUACACUUGGUCUUGACAUGAUGUGAUGCAGUAUUGGAAGUAUAGUAUAUUACAUACACCAAAGUGUCCCUUCAUAGUUUAUAUUUAAUCUCUCUAUAUAUAUUAUAAUUUUUUUUAUUAUAAAGUAUGCUCGAAGAAUAACCACAUUUCAACGUACGUAAAUAUGUUUGUGUUGAGGUUAUAGAUUCAAGUCUUGGAAUCGUAAAUCAUUUGGGGUUUGGGGAGUGUGUGUGGGGGGGGGGGGAGUGAUCGAAUGAUGGUUCCGUUUUCUUUUCUUUUUGUCUUGAAUGACUAUUUUAAAGUCGAUUGUAAUAGAGCUAUAAAUACUUAUUUCUAUUAAAAUGAAAAGCAGCUAGCAAAACUUGAAAUAAACUCGAACACUUUUUGGCUUGAACUAUGCAUUCUUGUGCAAAAAUAUAAUAAAAUCACAUUUUAAGGCAAUGCGAGACAUUACAUUGCCCAUUUAUAUAAAAAUAAAAACUUGCAACAAUGCUAUAAAUAUGGUUGUCUUAUUGUCAAACAGUUUGUCCGCUCUUAGAAAUUAAAGUAAAUACAUGCCUUUACAAUACUAUAUCAAGUGUAAUACCAUAAGUAGGUUCAGAGGAGAUAGCAUAUACGCAAAUUUUCUCCUACUCUUUGAAGAUGUACAGAUCGAGAGAUUGUUAAUGGUAGACCCUCGACUUAAGUAAAACAUCAAAAAUAAGUAUGUACAACAAAUAUAACGAUGAAUACGUCAUGUUGGAAAACAAUGAAGAAGAGAACAGUAGGAAUAACAAAUAACACGAUAUUGUGAUUGCGAUCUUAUAUGACACAAUCAGAUGAUAUGUUUCCUUCGAUAUAUAUAUAUAAAUCAGAAUAUAUGUAAUUAGUUGUAAAGAUACGUUUCCUUAGUUAUAGAGCUGGUACAACUUGUAUAUAAUAUUGAGAUGUAUUAUCAAGGCGAAUCUUACUUUACAAUAACUAAAACAAAGGAAACAACACAUAAUAAUACUAAAAUUGAGAAAGUAUAGUAAGAGAGUAAUAAAAAUAUUGAAAAGGAAACUAAAACUACUACUUUCUACCCUAAUUCUCGACCUACAUAUCUCUCAAUCUACAAACAUAUCCUCGAUAAGCUACAUAUAAGCUAUAACAUAUCUAAUCAUCUCUUAUCAAAUGUUUUUUCUAUCCUAAUUCUCGACCUACAUAUCUCUCAAUUUACAGACAUAUCCUCGUAAGCUACAUAUAAGCUAUGACAUGUCUAAUCACCUCUUAUCAAAUACUUUUUCUAUCCUAAUUCUCGACCUACAUAUCUCUCAAUUUACAGACAUAUCUUCGAUAAGCUACAUAUAAGCUAUAACAUGUCUAAUCACCUCUUAUCAAUGCUUCUUCUGCGAUCUAAUUAGGAAAUGCAUGCCUUUAAGUGGUAAUUUUACAACACAUGUUGAUCACAAUUAGUUAUAUAGUUAUAUAUUGGCUUGCAAGCACAUGAAUAUAAGAGCCUCUAUAAAGGUAUUACAGUUACAAAAACAUCAAAUCAAAAUGAAGGGAGACGCAGCUUGGGCCUUGACAUAUACAUCCAUCAUGUCUAAAGGGUGCAUCUUCUACCCUACCACACUAUCCCUUCUGUCACUUUGCCUCUCAUCAUGUACCUAAAUUCAAGUUAAACUAUACUAUAUAAUAAUAAUAAUAAUAAUAAUUUUUUAAUACUAUCAGAGUAUAUAUAUCCUUUACUAAUAAUAACUGUAACAUAUUCAAUAGAGCGCGAUAGAUACACAUACCCCUUAAUUUAUUUUAUGAUGAUAGAGAGAUUGUUUCAAGUGCAUAUAUACUCAAAUGCGAUGUACAAAAUCUUUUUGGUACAAUGUCUACAUACGUUAGAUUAUAAUAGAGCAUAUCCUUUGUAUCGGAUCAAUUCAACCUCAGAUCGUUGAUGAGGAAUAUUACGAAAGUAAGCUGUCAAUGUAUACACUCAAAUGCAACAUAUAUAUCUAUUGUAUGUUGAUUAUUAUAGUGUCUCGAUCAGUAUCGAUUUAGAUUAAAAUUCUUAUAUUGAAGCAAUUUAAUAUCGAAUUAUUAACGAGAAAUAUUACAAAAAUAUCCCCAAAGAACUAAACAAACUCUAUAACGUUAGAAAAAAGUAUGACAUAUGUAUAACUAACACAAAAAAUUGUGUCAUGUUUGCUCAUAAAUUAAUAGCAUAAUAUGUCUCAAACGUGAAAUAUACUUUUUUUUUAAAUGUACAAUCAAUUAAUUAUUCUGAAAAUAAUAUAAAAUAAAAUGAAAAAAUAGGAAUAAAAAUGGAAUGGAUCACCAUGCAUGUUAAUUUUUUUUUUAUUUUCUGACUGAUAAUAAAGAGGCCUUCGUGCGUAGAGUCAGAAAAAAGUGCAAUAAUUUCUACAACCAAAGAUCAAGAAAAUCCACAUUUACAUGGGACAUCCACCUGACAAAUCUUAUGGUAAAAAAAUAAAAUAAAUAGUAUGUGGCAAAAUUGAAAAAAAAAAUAUUCAUCAUAUAAUUGAAGAGUUUAAAUUUUAUGUACGUACAGUGUGAAAAAUAUUUAUAGGAUUAAGUUUAUUUAAAUAUAUUCUUUAACUUAGUCUCAUUGAUCGAUAGUUAUGUUUUUUAUUUUUAGACGUGCACCGAAAUAAAUUUGUUACUCAUUUUGAUUUUGUCAUGCCCUAACACGAUUCUUUUUAAAUUAACUAUAGUCUACGAGUAUUUCUUCUUCUAUUUUUAAAAAUUUUGAAAAAAAAUUGUCGUCGCUAUUAUAUAUAUUACGUUCUUAAGUAAGUAUUUAUAAAACAUAUUUGGACAUCUCAUGUUCGAAAACCUUACAGUAUAACUUAUCGGUCCAUCGGAGCCCAAAUAACACUAGGCAAUUCUGACGCUACAAAUCCAGCUUAUAAGACAUUGAUAGGAAAACUCACUCAUCACUUUUACGAGAUCACAUUUACUGUAUUUACUUAGUCAUUUUUACGACAAACUCAACUAAAAACAGAUAUAAAUAAGUGAAUUCAAUUACUAACCUUUUUUUUAUACGAUAUCACUUGUUGUACCAAUUCGAUUAACUCGAAGUAAUUUGAUAGUAUAAUAUUUGAAGUGAGCAAGUUAAAAAGGUACAAAGUACGUUUUUUCUUACUUUGUGUGCAUACGUGCAUUUCCACGUAGAAAGUCAUUAACAUAAAAAAGUAUAGCAAAUCGAAAAAAAAAGUGAAUUUCAAACUUGUCAGAGAUUUUCACGUGCAAAAGUAUUUAUUAAUUUUACCAUAUGAUAUAAAUUAUACAUUUUUACCAAUUUUAUUUGGACUUUGACCUUCCAACUACUACUAUCAGUACUAGUCGUGCAAUUGUUUUUUUUUUCUUUUUAUUUUUAUAUUUUAAAUUUUAAUUAAUUUAAAUUUAUGUUGUAAAUUAUUAUUAAGAUAGUGGAUAAGUUUUUAAAAAUAUUAUUUAACCUAAACAAGCCAUAAUUUACAUUUUAAAAUUUAUGUUAAAUUACAUUUAAUUAUUUUGUAAAUAUCAUACAAUAGAUUACUUUUUAUUGUUAAUAAUAGGGACGUAGAGCUAGAAAUCUAUUAUAAAAAAAAAAAGUCUAUAUGUAUUUUUAUUCGUUUAUUAGAUAAUAAGUAAACUACAUAAAAUAUGAUAUAUUUCUUUUUUAAUUGUAUGCAUCGAUUUUAAAUUAAAAAAUAUUUGUGUUUUACAGCUUAUUGAGACGUAUGUAUAACUUAAAAACACAUACAAAAGAAAAAUUCAACAUUUGAGUCGAAUAUAUAAUUGAAGCAUUUUAUUAAAAAUUGAGAUAUUUAAUUAAAACAAAACUUAAUUAAAAUAUUUAAAUAAAAAAAUAUUCUAAUUACAAAAAUAUAUUUAAUUAAAUAUCUAUUUAUAGAAAAUAGAAGUGGUUAUUUUUAUUUUUAUUGAUUUUUAACUAAUAUAAAUAAGUUUUUACUUCAAAAUCAACUAGUCUAUAUCUCUCCUCCACUUUUAUUGUUACGAUAUAAUAUUAUUUAUUUAUUCUACUUUAUAUACUUUAUUUUUUCUUUUUAAUCAAUUUUUAUAUAACAAUAAUUUGAUUAUAAAAUAUUUAUUUUACUUUUAAUGAAAUAAUUUAUCAUCAUAUAAAUAUUUAUCAGUUUUUUUUUCUUGUUACAAGUUAGAAAGUAUUUUUUUAAAAAAUUCUAUGUCAAGAUAAACUAACUCAUAUAACUUAGGACAGAGAGUUCUUUUUCCGAGUAAGAUUUCUUCAUUGUUUUAUGUUUUUUUAGGGGCCGUGAUACUUUUUUUGGUCAAGAAUCUUUCAAAACACUAUUUUAUCUUCAACAAAGUAUGAUAUAAUGUCGAUGUACAUAUCAUCUUCUUUAUUCGAUCGCUAAAAUUACACUAAAUAUAUUAUUACCGGUAUUAUCUAACCUCCAUAGGCACAUUCCUCUAAGGAUUCUUGUUGUCGGUUUAAUUACUCCAUAUCUCUAGCUUUUCACAUCUUCUAUUCUCAUAUUCACACUAUAUACCAAAAAAAGAAAUUUAAAAUAAAUGUUUUCAUGUAGCACUUUCAUGAUUUAGCAUAUUUUUACUAUUUUAAUGUUUUUUUUUUAUUUGGAAUAAAUUAAAAUAAAAGUAUAACAUACAUCGAGGAAGUGGUUUGUAUACAUUGGAAUAAUGGUUUGUUCAAAAAAACAAUAAAAUAAGUAAGUGAAAUCUCAUAGUGGAGAACAAUUAGUACUAGGAUUCACCUUAAACGAUAUUUAAUAUUAUUAUUAUUAUUAAAAGCACUAAUUAACUAUGCAACUCUCCACUAUAUUACUUUUAAAUGUAUUUUUUUAUUAUUACAAUUUUAAUUAUAUAAUAAACAAUUUCAUAUUCUUUAUUUGUUCAAUAUAUAUAUAUAUAUAUAUAGCGAGGGUACUCCCUCUAUGACAUUUAUGUAUAGCAGUAUAUAUAUAAUUGAUAAUGAAUUUUAUCAAAUGUAAAAAAAAAAAAGAUUUUUAUUAUGUCAAAAAUAAUCUUAAAAAAUCAAAUUUAUAAUCUAAAAUAUUAUAUAAUAUUUAUAUAGUUCUAAAACAUGUGAUAAGUAGUAUAAAAUAAAAAAGUUCAAAAUUUUCAAAUAUAAUUGUUUUAUUUGUUACAAAUAUUGUUAUAUAAAAUGAAACAAUAGAAUAUUGAUUUAGAGUGUAAGAAUGAUUUUUUUUUUGUUUAUUAUUUAGUAAUUAUUUAUGAUAUAGCGAGUAUGACUAAUAAAAUGAAGGAAAAUUAAAUUCUUUUUAGAUAUUACUUAAUUGGUAUGUUGAUAAGAGAUAUAUUCAAUUAACUUAAUUGAAGUACAUAUAAAUUGAUUCGAUAAAUAUUGAAAUAAUUUUCUUUUUAUGGUAGGGAUGAGAAGUUGUCUUUCAAUGAGAUAGGAACCAAAAUAAGCCACAAAAAUAUAAAAGUAAUCAAAAUAAGCCACUAUUUUAAUAAGUAACUAAAAUAAGUUUAGUGAAAAAAAAAUUCCACAAUAUCCAAUAAUUUAAACGGUUUUCCAUUAAUUUCAUAACGUUUAUUUUUAAUAUAUAACGGAACUUUUUUUUCUACUUUAUAAAAGAUAACUUUUAACUUUCCAAUUGAUUUAACACCAAAUAAUGCCAAUUAUUUCCACAUCAUGCUCGUGUGAGUUUGUAACUUCGAGACUGUAAAAAGAGAAUAUUGUAAACAUAAAAUAAACUUUUAUAUUCCCUAAAAAAGGAAUAUUUUUUGUUUGCCAAAAUAAGUAUCGUUUUAAUAAAAUAAUUUUUUUUUUCCGAACAAGUAUUAUUUUACCAAGUUAUAUGUUAGUAUAUCAAUAUAAUUGUUGUUUUUACAAAUUCAAGAUAAGAAAUUGUAAUAAUUUAUUUUUUUAAUACUGUUUAAUUUUCAAGAAAUGUCGAUCUAGUAUAAAUAGGAUAACUUAGUAAACUAUAUUUUUUUUAUGAGCAUGAAAUGAGUUAAAACGACACUUUUUCUUAAACGAAAAGAGUAGGAUAAAAGUUGCACAUAUUAUUUCAUGGAGAAUUUGAAAAACUAAUAAAUAAACCUCUAUAUUUAAUUAUUAAAAGAUUUUGGCCCUCAUAGAUAAUAAUUAUAAUAGUAAUUGAAAGGACUUGAAGCAUUAUUGAUUUGCUUUUAUUUGUUACAAAAAAAAAUUGUGGGACAGACAAUCUAAAGCAAACAGUUUAAAUGAUUCUUGGGCCUGUCUAGUUUUAUGUUAACAAAAAAAUGAUUCAAGAUUGAUUACAAUGUCUGAAUUACAAAAACAUUUUUAGUUUGUGUUUGGGAAACAAAUAAUUACAAAGUUACAAAAAAAAUCAUCAUAAUAAUUGUUUUACACAAGUUAAUUAAUCCAAUGGUUAGUUAAUUUAAGUACCUUAUACCCUUCAUAGUUUCUAUUGCAAAAAACCAAAAAAAAAACAAUUUUACAUAUAUAUUAAGAAACAAAAAGAGAGAAGAAGAAGAGGGGUUUAUCAAAUGUUCAAGGAAAUGUGAAACAAAGAACGACGACAGUUCAGUACACGAAACAUUCUGCAUUCUUGUAUUCAGAGAAAAGUCGUAUCAAUCUAUAUAUACACUAAUACAAUCAUUAGUUAUUGAUUCCACGACUCAAAAUUUUAACAUAUAGAUAAUGAUGAAUCAAAUAUUGAAGAGUACUAAAGUAAAAACCAAGAAAGCUUCAAUAUCAAUAUAAUCAAAAGCAAAUUAGAAAUACAAUUUUUUUUUUAUAUAAAAAGAAAAAAAAAGAAUGAGCUAUAACUUCCAACUUUUUUUUGAGAAAAAUAAAUAAUAUAUAUAUAUAUAUAUAUCAACAUACUCUUAAAUAAUGAUAUCUCUUAAGUACACCUUCUCUUCAAAUCUUCAAAACAUUAUUUCAUUCUUUCCUCUCAUGCCAACACACAAGCAUAGCAAUACAUCUCCUUACAAUAUAAAACUUAGCCCUUUGCUUCUUUGCUAUAUGACUACAUUUUUUUCCAAAUGAUUUUGUUGAGUUUUGUGAUGAUGAAUUAUUAAUGUUAGAGUUGUGCUCUUCAUCACUUUCUCUAAUUGGUUCCAUAUGAAUAAUAUGAAACAAAAACAAAAAAAAACUAUUUAUAUAUAGUAGUGGUACUAAUACUUCUGCAAACUGCAAAUUUGCAGCUUGUGGCAGUGGAUAUAUAUAAUAAAUAUAAAUAUAAUAUAUAAUAUAUUAUAUUAUAUGGUUGAUGCUUAAGGUUACUUUAUUUUAUACUACUGUUGAUUUGAGUUACCCUUUUGUUUUAGUCUUUUUACUAUUUUCAUAUAGUACUAUAGUAUAUUUGGAUUGAUAUACAAUGUGUAUAAAUUUACAUACAUAAAAAUGGUUAUUUUUUAUUUCACUAUUAUAUAUUCUCUUGGUCCCGUUUGAUAUGCAAACUGUGUUUGACUGUUUAAGAAAAAAAUGAUUUUGAAACUUUUGCCAGGGUUAUAUUGUUUGUAGAAUUAAUAACAUUUUUAGAUUCUUUGGAUUUGGUAAAUUAUGAUUUGUUCAUUAUAGUUAUAUUUGUCUAAUUAAGCAUAUUUUUAUCUCUUUACUUGUGGGAAUUCAUAAAUUACUUCUGUGUUAUGUUAAAGCUUGUAUUGUUUCUUUAAAUAUGAAAUAAAUUUACCUUUAAAAUAGUCAAAAUAUAAUAUAUUUCAUACUUAAAUGAACCAAAAGCACACAUUUUAAUUUAUUGAAGGUUAAUUAAUUAUGUUUUUUUUUGGGUCAAAUAUUACCCAAUCUAAAAUGAGAAUUUAUCGAUAAUUGACACUAUUAAAUUGGGUUUUCUUUUACGUGUAUAUAAUCAAGUUUAAAGGACUAUCGACUAAAUGAAACCCCUAUCUUUUAGUAGUACGAGGGACUAAAAGUGUUACUAUCCCUUAUUUCGAAACAUAAAAACUUGUUCUGUUUUUUAAAACUAUAAAAAUAUGUCAUAUAAAAUAUAAUAAAUAAAAGUAAUAUUAUUUUUAAAUUUUGGUGGUAUCUUUUCUUGGUCAAGUUUCUUGAAGUCUAAAUUAAUUUAUACCUUUUCACACAUGAUGAGUUAAUAUGGAAGGGUUAAUUUUUGAUUAAUAUAGCAAGGCCCAAAAGAAUGGUAGGUAAAUAGGACUAUAAUAUUAAGUCAGGCUUAAUUGGUACCAUUGAUUUUAUAAACAGACAACAUCUGUAAAUAGUACUACAAGUACCCCAUUUUGACUGAUUUAAUAUUUUGACCGUUUCAAUUUAUUCGUCUUACUUAUUUUUAAAAUUAUUUCAAAAAAUUUAUGACUUGAUGAAUAGAUGUUAUUCGUUUUAACAUAGUAUCAUUCACAACGUAAUAACAGGGGCUCUGAGAGUUUUGUCUUGUGGGGGAAGCGGGGGGAUCAGUGAUAUGUUAUGAUCACUUGUAUGAACCUCUUUAUAUUUCGAGUGAAUUGAGUGAGGUUAUCUCUUUCUAUACUUUGUACACUCAUAUUUAUAUAGUGAAUUGUUUAUCUUCUUUGCGGAAUAUAGAACGAUUAAUUAAACCAUGUUAAAUCUUCGUGUUUUAUGGUAUAUUUCUCGUUUGUCUUCUUAUUCGUGGUCUUUCGAGGUUUUCCUUUAUUAGCUUAUGUGGGACAACUAAUUAUUUUGGUUCCAACUUUCUACAUUAUAAUAUUUUACGUAUUUUUAGUUUUAAGCUCACAAGAUUCAGAAGUUUUUUUUUUUCAAACUUCGUUUUAGAUUAUUAUGAGCUUAUAUAAUUAGUUAAUUGGUUAGUCGUCUGAACUUUUACCUUAUUGGUAAGAAUUCGAUUCUCCACUUUAUAAUAUUUUAAUUGUAUCAAAUUAAAAUCAAACAAAUAAAUUAAAUAGCGUAUUAAUUAUGGUUCUGGCCUUAUUAUUGCUGUGAAAAAAUUGAUGCCAAAGCUGCAACUUGCAAAGCCUUUUGUUCACUACUUUAUUUUGUCAUGGUCUUUUAAUUUUUAACUACUAUGAAUGUGUGUUGCAAAAUUCUCCAACGUUAUUGCCUUUGUAAAAUUAUGUUUAAAUUAUAUUCGAUAAAGAUAAUUAUUUAUCAUUGGUAGAGAGCGUUUUCUCUUUAAUAAAUAUUUUGUAACAUAAAUAUUGUAUAUUAGUUGGGUCAGUGUGUAAUUUUUUUGUAUCAAUAAUAAUAAUAACAACAUACUCAACAUAAUUCGUCUAGUAAAAUCUGAAUGAAACGAUAAAAUAUAUGCAAAUCAUGUCAUUAUCUUUGCGAGAUAGGAAGACAAGCAGAACGUAUUAAAAAAAACAUAAAAAGAUGUGGUAUGGAUGAAUUUCAUCCCUUCUUAAGCAUAAUUCGAAUUCUGAAAAUAAAGAAAUUCAUAUAUAUUAGGAAACAUUUCAUUCUUAAUAAACUCUUCUCGGUAUACAUUUCUAUUAAUCGAGCCGAUAAAUUUUAAAUAUAGUAUGAUUUUACAAAAAUAAAAAAUAAUUAAAAGUUGUAUUUUAAUUAAAAUAAUAAUUAUAGAUUCAGUCAAACUCACUUCAUUUUGACCAAACUCAUCCAUAUUUUAAAUUAAAAGAACCUAACUAUUAAUUUAUUUAUUUUUAAAAAAAAUAUAUUACCUUUUACAUUUUCUUUGCUUUUAAUUAGCAAAAUAUCACAUGAAAAAGAUUAGUUUACGGGUUGUGAUAUGACUCAUUAUAUGAUGAUUAACUUAUUAAACUAAGCAAAUCUUGAAUAAAUUGAAAUUAAAUCAAUUUACUAAUUCAAUUUUAAUUCAUAUAUUAUCUCAAAAUAAUUAUGUAAAAUAAUAUAAAUAAAAAGAAAAAAAAUGUUGAAAUAGGGGAAUUAGAGGCAUGUUCACGUGUACAAUCUGUAAGACCAUAUUAAAUAUCUAUCCUUUUUUGUUGACCAAAUUAAAUACUUUUCAAACUUCACAGUACACGUGCUAUAUUAUUAAAGAAAAAAAAAAACUAAAUAUAUGUUAGUUUAUUUUUACCUAUCAAUAAUAAUAAAAAUUUAUAUUUCUUAACAAAUAAUACAUAAAUAUAUUUCUUUGUUUUCAAUUUAUGUACAUUUUUUAUUUUUCGAAAAUCAAAUGAUUUUAGUUUGACUAAUUUUAUACAUGAAAUUUUUAUAUUUUUUUUAAAAAAUAAAAUUAUAUAUUUAUAAACAAAGUAAAAAAUACAAAAUAAUUCACAAUUCAGAAAUUUUAGAAGAUCUAUAAAAAAACUUAUAAAUAAAAUAAAUUUAUUUAAAUAUUAAAAUUUAAAAAAUAUCACGUAAAUUAAAACGCAAACAAAAGAAUUGUUAACAAAUAAAGAUUUGUCGAACAAAACUAGUUUCAAGAAAGACUAUUGUGUACUGUGCCGUGUGGGGUGGGGUGGGGUGGGGGUGGGGGCAUAAAAAUGGGGAAAUGAAAAUAAAAGCUAAAAUCUAAUAAAGGAUAAGUUUAGUAUGAAAGAAAAAUAUUUUUAAUAUGUACCGUUAAAAGUAUACAAUUGAAUUUUCAAUAUUAAAAAAAUAUUUACAUUUACAUAAAUAAAUAAAGAUGGUAAGCAUAUAAAAUUAAAUAAAAUAGUCUAUAUAUAAUACGAAAACGGUAAAAUUUCCAAUAAAAAAAAUUAAAAGAAAUAAAAAUGGUCUACAUAUGAAAAGAAAUAAAAAAAAACAUAUAUAGGAAAACAUUAAAAUUGUCAAUUAAAAAAAUAAAACAAAUUUAUGGGAUAAAUUUUUAAUUUAUCAUUUUAAUGCAUGUAUAACUAAUACUUACAUAACUUAUUUCAUCUUCUAUCCUGCAUAACUUUAUACAUAGAUGCCCUCAUAAGUUAUGUUGGUAUUAAUUAUGUAGAAAUACAAAAAAAAAUGCAAUCAAACACAGUUUAUAUUAAUACAUGAAUAGCUUUUAUAUAACAUUUAAAUUCUUACCAAUCAAACAUAAUAUAAAGUUAUAUUAACUUUUAUAACUAACGCAAAAUUUCUGCGAAACAUAAUAAAAUUAAUGUAACUUUUAAUAUAUAUAUAUAUAAGAUAUUUCUUAUACAAUAACCAAACCGCUCCUUAGUAAAACUUAUAUAAAAUGUUUGUCAAUAUUACUCAUAUAUAUUAUUACCUAUUCAUGAUCUAAAUAGUAAGUUCAUCUGACCAACAUAUAUUAGGUUGAAAAGUCAGACCAAAAAGGCUUUUAAGGCUCAAGUCCAAUUUCGGCCCAUAUAUCGAUUCCUCUUUGAGUAAAUUACAUUAAUAAUAAACAUAAAAAUCAUAUUAACGUUUUAUAGCUACAACCCUACUGUUUGCACUUCAUAGUAAACAUUAAAAUUUUCAUUUCGUUAAAAGAAUAAUCUUUAGAACGUAGUGUAGAAGAGAGGAAAAGGAUGAUUAAUCAGUUUGGAAAAUUAAGAACAUAAUGCAUGUGUUACAAUGAAAAAGUCAAGUGAUUUAUGAGUUUCUCCUUUGCAAAAAUGAAUUUUCGGUCAUCCACGACUUGAGUAAUUACUUAUUGUCUCGAAUACUCACGAGGAAGUCUAGGUGAUGCAAAGUAUAUUCUGUAUGCAAAUUCUAUAUCCGUCAUAUUAUGAUGGCAAAAACUUGUUAUCUUUUAUAUCCAUAAUGAUGUAUUUAUACGUUAUAAGUAUGUUAACGAGAAAAAUAAUCUAUUAAAUUAUAUGGUGGACUAUAUCACACGAAAAUCAAUAAAAUGGGGGAUUACCUACUUGAGGCUCAUUUGAUCUUGUAAAUGGGUCGUUUCAGCCGUUAGGGCCAACUGGCUCCAGAGCUAAGGUCAUAACGGACGUCCAUGAAAUUUUUUGACAAAAAUGACAUUGAAAUUUCGGAUCAUCAUAAAAGAUGGUAGCACAUGAAACUUAGAAAAAUGGGGGUUUACCUGCUUCGGGGCUCGUUUGACCUUGUAAAUGGGUCGUUUUGGCCGUUAGUGCGAACUAGCUCUAUAGCUAAGGUCUUAAAGGAGGUCCAUGAAAAAUUCAGCAAAAAUGAUGUCGGAAUACCAUAUCACCAAACAAGAUGGUGGACUAUAUCACACGAAAAUCGAUAAAAUAGGGGAGGGGGGGGUUAUUGUGUUCCUGGACUCGUUUGACCUUGAAAACUGACUCCAUAAAUAAGGUCUUAAUGGACGUUCAUGAAAAAAAAAUCAGGAAAAAUGAUGUAGAAAUUCUAGAUCACCAUAAUAGAAGGUGGACAAUAGCACACAAAAAUUAAAAAAUGGAAAUUUACCCACUCCGGGGCUCAUUUGACCUUGUAAAUGGGUCGUUAUGCCCAUUAAGGCCAACUGACUCUAUAGCUGAAGUUAUAACGGACAGUCCAGAAUGAUUUUGGCAAAGAUAUCGUCGAAAUUCCGAAUCACCAUAAAAGUUGAUAGAUUAUAACACAUGAAAAUUGACUAAAUUAGGGGUUUACCUACUCUCUGACUCAUUUGACCUUGUUAAUGGACCGUUUUGGCCAAUAGGGCCAACUAGCUCCAUAGCUAAGGUCUUAACAAUGUCAAUGAAAAAUUUUGGCAAAAAUGACAUUGAAAUUUUGAAUCACCAAAAAUCAAUGGACUAUAGCACACGAAAAUUGACAAAAUGGGGGGUUUACAUGCUACGGGUCUCGUUUUACCUUUAAAAUGGAUUGCUUUGGUUGUGGUGACCAACUGGCUCGAUAACUAAGUUCUUAACGGACAUCCAUGUAAAUUUUUGGCAUAUAUGACGUCGAAAUUAUUGAUCAUUAAAUAUCUCAUGGACUAUAGUACACGAUAAUGGCAAAAUGGGGAUUACCUACUCUAAGGCUCGUUUGACCUUUAUAAUGGAUUGUUUUGGCCGUAGUGACCAACUUGAUCAAUAACUAAGGUCUUAACGAACAUCCACGUAAAUUUUUUGCAACAAUGACGUUAGAGUUUCGGAUCACCAAAAAUCUCAUGGACUAUAGCACACGAAAAUCAAAAAAUCGGGGAUCUACCUGCUCAGUGGCUCGUUUUACCUUGAAAAUGGAUCGUUUUGGCCGUGAUGACUAAUUGGCUCCAUAUCUAAGGUCUUAACAAAUGUCCAUGUAAAAUUUUUAAAAAAAUUAACGUCAAAAUUCUAGAUCACCAUAAAAGGAGGUGGACUAUAACACACGAUAAUUGGUAAAUUGAAGGGGUUAACGUACUCCGAGGCUCAUUUGACCUUGAAAAUAGAUCGUUUUGACUAUCAGGGCUGACUGACUCCAUAGAUAAGGUCUUAACGGAAGUCCAUGAAAAAAUUUGAAAAAGAUGACGUAAAAAUUCUGGAUCACCAUAAUAGAUUGUGGAUUGUAGCACACAAAAAUCAGCAAAUAGAAAGGGAGUUUACCUGCUCCGAGGCUCAUUGACCUUGUAAAUGGGUCGUUGUGGCCCUUCGGACCAACUGACUCCAUAUCUAAGGUCUUAAUGGACAUGCAUAAAAUAUUUCGAUAAAAAUAACGUUAAAUUUUUUGGUCACCAUAAAAUAUGAUAGAGUAUAAUACACAAAAAUUGGUAAAAUGUGGAUUUACCUACUCUCGGGCUCAUUUGACCUUGUAAUUGGAUCGUUUUGGCCAAUAGGGCCAACAGAUUCCAAAGCUAAAGUCUUAACAACGUUAAUGAAAAUUUUAUGCAAAAAUUUUGUUAGAAUUCUGGAUCCAUAGCUAAGGUCUUAACAUGCAUCCAUGUAAAUUUUUAGAAAAAAUGAUGUUAAAAUUCCAAAUCACCAAAAUUUCAUGAAUUAUAGCACAUGAAAAUUGGCAAAUUAGGGGUUUACCUUCUCUGGGUCAUUUGACCUUCAAAAUGGACCGAUUUGAUCGUGGUGAACAACUGUCUCCAAAGCUAAGGUAUUAACGAAGUCCAUGUAAAAUUCUGGUAAAAAUGACUUCAAAAUUCAGGAUUACUAAAAAUUCGUGGAAUAUAGCACAUGAAAAUCAGAAAAAUGGGGGUUUACCUGAUUUAGGAUCGUUUGACCUUGAAAAUGAAUCGUUUUGGCCGUGGUGACAAAUUGACUCCAUUGCUAAGGUCUUAACGAACGUUCAUGUAAAUUUUUGGCAAGAAAUAACGUUAGAAUUUUGGAUCACCAAAAUUUUUUUGGACAAUAGCGCACAAAUAUUGAUAAAAUGAGGGUUUAUGUGCUCCGCGACUCGUUUGACCUUGAAAACGGGCCGUUUUAGCCGUCAGGUUCAACUGACUCCUUAGAUAAGGGCUUAACGGAUGUCUAUGAAAAUUUUUGACAAAAAUGACGUCAAAAUUCUGGACCACCUUAAAAGAUGGUGGACUAUAGCACACGAAAAUCUGCAAAAUGGGGGGUUUACCAACUCUAGGACUCGUUUGACCUUGUAAAUGAGUCGUUUUGGUCGUUAGGGCCAACUGACUCCCUAUCUAAGAUCUUAACGUAUGUCCAUGAAAAAAUUUCGAUAAAAAUGAUGUUGAAAUUCCGAAUCACCAUAAAAGAUGGUGGAUAACACAAGAAAAAUUGGGGGUUUACCUUCUAUAUGUUUGUUUGACCUUUAUAAUGAGUAGUUUUGGCCGUUGUGACCAAGUAGCUCCAUAGCUAAGGUUUUAACGAUGUCCAUGUAUAAUUUUUACAAAAAUGACAUUGAAAUUCUAGAUCACCAAAAAUUCAUGGACUAUAACACACGAAAAUUGACAAAUGAGGUGUUUACCUGCUCUAGGGCUCGUUUGACCUUGAAAAAUGGAUCGUUUUAGUCGUCAGGGCCAACUGUCUCCAUAGUUAAGGUCUUAACGGAUGUCCAUAAAAGAAAUUUAGCAAAAAUGACGUCAGAAUUUUGGAUUGCCAAAAAAAAUGGUGGACUAUAGCAAAAGAAAGUUGAAAAAAUGGGAGGUUUAUCUACUCUUGGGCUCGUUUGACCUUCAAAAUGGUCUGUUUUGGCCGUGGUGACCAACUGACUCCAUAGUUAUGGUCUUAACAGAUGUCCAUGUUAAAUUUUGGCAAAAAUGACGUUGAAAUUUCAGAUCAACAAAAAUUCAUGGACUAUAGUACACAAAAAUCGACAAAAUUGUGGGUUUACCUUCUCUAGGCUCGUUUGACCUUCAAAAUGGGCCGUUUUGAGUGUGGUUACCAUGUGUCUCCAUAUCUAAGGUAUUAACGACGUCCAUAUAAAAUUUUGGAAAAAUGACGUCUAAAUGGCGGAUCACCAAAAAUUCAUGUACUAUAGGACACAAAAAUCUGCAAAUAGGGGCUUACCUGCUCUGGGCUAGUUUGACCUUGAAAAUGGGUCGUUUUGGUUGUGGUGACCAACUGACUCCACAGAUAAGGUCUUAACAAAAGUCCAUGUAAAUUUUUGGCAAAAUGACAUCAAAAUUUCGUAUCACCAAAAAUCUAUAGACUAUAGCACACGAAAAUUAACAAAAUGCAGGAUUUACUUGAUUUGCACUCGUUUGACCUUGAAAAUGGUCCGUUUUGGCUGUGUGACCAACCGAUUUCAUAGUAAGGUCUUAACGGACAUCCAUGUAAAUUUUUGGCAAAAAUGUCAUCGAAAUUCCGGAUCACUAAAAAUCCAUAGAGUAUAACACACGAAAAUAGUCAUCAAAAUGGAGAGAUUACCUACUUUGGGGCUCGUUUGACCUUGAAAAUGGAUUGUGUUGGCCAUGGUGAUCAACUGGCUUCAUAUCUAAGGUCUUAAGGAACGUCCCUGUAAAUUUUGGCAAAAAUGACAUCGAAAUUCUGGAUCACCAUAAAAGAUGGUGGACUAUAGCAUACGAAAAUCGACAAAAUGAAAAAUUUACGUGCUCCAAUGCUCGUUUGGAAAUGGGUCGUUUUAGCCGUCAGGGUCAACUAGUUCCAUAGAUAAAGUCUUAAUGGACGUCCAUGAAAAAUUUUGACAAAAAUGACGAUAAAAUUCUAGUCAAUCAAAAUUAAAUAUUAAUCUUGUCGGUCAAUAUUUUGGUUGCUAUUCUAAAAUAGUUACUUUGAAUUAUGAUCUCUCAAUGAAUUAAUAUUUAUCUGUCAAUGUUUUGAUAUAUAAGAUCUCAAUCUAGAUUUUGUUCUUUUGAAAUAUAUAAUUAAAUAAAUAAAGAUAUAUUAUCUAAGAUAGAGAUUUUCCAAUUUCAAACAUCUAUUUAAACGUAAAAGAAUACAUCAUAAAAAGAUUUUAUUUAAUAUACAAUUCGGUAAAUAAAAAUAUUUUCUGUAGUACUUCUCUAUUAACUAUCACAAGUAAAAGAAAUUCAUACUUUAUAUUACAGAUAUCUGUAAACAAUAAAAUUUGACUCGAUCAAAAUGAAUCAAACAUACCAUCUUUAAUUAAGAAAAGUGAAGUAUGACUGCAAUUUUUUAAAAUUAUAUAAAUGAAGAUGCUUCACGCAUUGUAUUUGAAUAAAAUAAUUUGUUAUUCAUCAUCCUCUUACCAAAAUCAGAUAACAAAUUUUAAUUUUUAAAGAACAAAAAUAUCCGUUAGAACACAUCGUUUUCGAAACCUUAUGGUCAAUGAGACCAAAAAAAAAAAAAAGUUUUAUUAUUUAAAUAUUUAAAAAAAAUAUUGUUUUCUUCUCAAUAUUUGUCACUUCUUCCUUAUCCAGAACGUAACCAAUAAUUCAAAUUUUGUUGGCCAACUACUAAACAAUAAAUUAAGCCAAUAGUUUUUUUUUCCAUCAAAACUGAUGCGUAAUGAUAUUUGUCUUGAGACUCGAUUAAAUUUAAAUUCAUUUUCAAGAUAAUGUUAUAAUAUUUUUUUCAUUUUUUUAGAAGUUCGAACCUAAAAAUCUCUAAUUAAAAAUGAAGAGAUUUUAACUAUACCACUAAAAUUGAUGUUGGUAAGUUAAAUGGAUAAUCAUGUCUUUUUAACUUUGGUUCAUUGGUUUUAGCUCAACGUAAGAUACAAUUAUAAUGUCGGAAUUAAUAAAUAUGAAUAAAAUGACGGCAUAUUAUGCUUUUUUUUUAUUAUUAUAAUUCUUGAAUUAUUAUUAUUAUAAAUAUAUUUUUAUUCGUAUGACGUUGAACUACAAACAAAAAUUCAUUAUUGGUUGAUUAAAAAAUAAAGUUGCAUAUAAAACUUUUUUUAUGUUAAUUUAAGGAGAAAAUAUAUCUUUUAAUUAAAUGCUAGUUAAAAUUCAUAAAAUUUGAUUCUCGAAAAACAAAUAAUGACAACUACUAUAUAAUAUGAAAGCAACAUGUUGAUUAAUUAAAUUAAAACUUGCUUAGUCCACCAACCAAACAAGCACUAAUCUUGUUUAUUUCUUAAUAAAUAUCAAUCAAUCUCUAAUCUUGUUUAUAUAUAUCUUUUCCAUACAUGUAAGUCUUGUUCAUUUAUCCAAACCAAAAAAAAAAAAAAUUAUCCAAAAAAAUAAAAAAAAAAUUCUCUCAAUAUUUUCCAAGAUGAUAACCAUAGCAACAGAACAAAAAUUCAUAGUAAAAGUUGAAUCUCCAACAUCUGAAUUUCUUGUUGAAAUAAAAGGAAGUGACAAAGUUGAAGAGUUAAUCAAAAUUGUGAAAAAAGCAUGGGGAAGUGAUUACAUGUUAUUAAGGCAUAAUUCUGUUGAAAUGAAAGUUGAUGAGAGUUUAUCAAAAUAUGAUGUUAAAGAUGGUUCAAUUAUCAGAGUCAAUGUCUUUGCUGAAGCUCCUUGAUAAAAAAAAUAAUAAUUAUAUUUUGUAAGUGAUACGUAUUUAUUAUCUGUUUUAAUUUGUGAGAUGUGAAUAAUAGAUGUUAUUACGUGUGAGUACAAUCAGUUGAAUUUGUUGUUUUUAGCUUGAUAUGUAGAUACAACGUUAUUCCUUUAAAAAAAAAAAAACCUUUUAUCUGUUGAAUUUAUUUUGAAUUUACUAGUUAUAUAUUUCCAAGGAACAAUUUUGUUGAAAUAAUAGUGGAUAAGAUUUUAUCUACAAUAUUAAAGAUAAUAUUUGUUAUUGAAGUCAAAGUCUUUGUUAAAGUUUCUUGAAAAAUUAUUAUUUGUAAGUUUGUAAUAUAUGGGGUAUAAUUAGUUUUAAUUUUAGGGCUUAAUUUGCGGUGAUGAUUAAAAAUUUUCGAUUUAAUUAGAGAUUUAUUUGAGGAGUGUUAGUAGUGAUGGAUUUAUUAUGGGUGUAUUAGAUUUGAUACUUAUGGAGUAUUGGUAAUAGUGAAUUUAGGUCGCAUUCGAUUCGAUUAAAUUUAUUAUUUUUGGCUCAAAUCAUAAGUUUAUAUGUAAAAAUUAGAAUUAUGAUUAUGGUUUACGCGUUUUUAUAUUAGUUUAAAUUUAAUUUUAACGGUUUAUAUGUUAUAAGAGUCACUUUCAAGGGUAAGAGUACACAAAUUUCAUGACAAAUUCAUUAUUUCUUAGUGAAACUAAUAUUAACUGAAAGUUUUUUUAAAAUUAUUAAAAUAUUCAUGAUAGUAAAUGAAA
rnacentral:lncRNA from 1 species